rnacentral:lncRNA from 1 species
UUUUUUUUUUGUAACUUUUGGUUUAACCGAAAUAUUUGUCGUUGUACUCGGUUCCACUGAAUUAAUAAAGUCAGAUGUAGUCUUAAACAAAUAGAGUACGUACGUAGCACGUUACGCAUUUUAGGUUGUACUGUAGGUUUUUUUUUAGGGGAUGGUUGUACUGUAGGUACUUCUUGUUUAGUCCCAUACGAGAUAGGGUUACUCAGAUUGGGCAUUGGGCCCAGGACCGCUUCAAGUAUGUACUAACGUACGUAGCGCGUUACGUAUUUUGGUCUGUAUAGGUAUUUCUUUGUUUAGUCCCAUACGGCCUACGGGAGGAACGGUCGGACGGUUUAUAAGCUCGAGACCGCAUGUACUAGACGCCCCUCCACCAAGCGGCAAGCCUGGUUAGCAGAUACCUUUACAGCGGACUAAGCCAAGCUGCGAAACAAAGCCUGUGAUUGAUCUCGAUCGUGCUUUGACUUGCUGUGCACACCCAGUCAGCUAACUAUAAGCUGCAAAUACGGACGUGUGGUAAAUCAGCGAACUAAAGCCUGAGAUUAUCACCGCGCUGAUUGCUUGCUGCUGGCUUGGUCCAGGGGAUCCCACACCGACACGGCUGUGGCGCCUGGCAAAGUUUUUUUUUUAACUGCAGCCCCUCUGCCCCUGAUAUCCAAAUGCGUGGAAGAUGUUGCCUUUGUCCUUUGCUGCAUCAGUUCAAUGGAGAAGAGGACACAAAAUAAUCAGUCAGCAUUGGUCUGCCGCAGUGCUACAACUAGUCAGGAACGAUCCAGAUAUUUUUUUCACUUUUCUACACUAUCAAAAUCUGCCAUUCCGAGAGGUAAAACAUACGCUAAACCAUCCAGAUAUUCGGUUCAGAGAGCAGCACAGGUCAGGUGCCGUCUGAGAACGCUCUGAAUCAGGACUAGAUUCUAACUCCAGGUACAAUACAUCAAGGCUAGAGCCACGGUGGGCGAGAAUGAGGGGCAAGAACAGAGACUACCCUGUUAGGCCUCCUCCAUCCCUCAGAUAACGGUGAAGUUCGAGAAAAUGUUCAUCAGAUUGUCGAGCGCCUCCGGAUAAAAUUUCCGCGCGAAGAGGUAGCAAGGCCUCUUCAUGCCGUUCCACAUGCACGGUCUUCUCUGCACUUGAUGCUGCAAGACCAUCAAGAGUUGUUAGAUCCUUCGUCAAGAAAUGAUGAUGCGUAACCUUUUGGUUGAGAAAAAUGUGAAAGCAAAAACAAGUGACUACAAGCUUUGUGGUUCCCAACUUGAUUGAAUAACCAAGACAAGGAGAGGAAAGGAUCAAGGUGCUCUCUACCUUCGCGUUGCUGGUCACAUGAAUACUCUCGUCAAUGGACUGCAAACAUUUCAUAUUCAGUUAGAUAAAUCCCAAAACUAUGAACUUUGCGCAAAUUUACUAAAACAGGUACAAAAAAGAUCUCACAGCUAUAUUCUUAAGCAGCUCAAAACUUGUGUCAACAGCCCUAUAAGCUUUAGGAUGCCAUUUCCCUUCGGACCAAUCAACGCGAGUCACCGACCAAUUUGCAAUUCCAGUUGGAUCAACCAUCUGCAGGCACAAUAGAAAUAUGAUAUUACUGGUGAGUUUAGUGAACAAAACACUUAGUUCAGGACCUUUGGGUGCUUACGUUAAAUAGGGUUGACAAAUAGUGCUCAUCAGAAUAGCAGUUAUGCCAUUCAUUUCCAGGCUGCAAAGUACAAUGACCUAAAGAUUAGUGGCGAAAUAAAAUUCAUGAAAUCAGGGCAGGAGAACAAUGUAAUGACCACAGAAAUGCGCGGAAGGGAACGAAAGCAUUCCAUAGGUCAUGGAAACUGAUUAAAAGAAGUACUUCUAGCUCAAAACAGAUAUUUACUGGUGCAGUAUCGAUAUUUGCCCACUAUAUGUUUUAGUGGUUUACCCUUCACAGUACUAGACUACAAUGCUGAAUAGUGUACAGAAACUGAAUCUGAAAUCCAGAUAUGAAUAGCUAGGUUGGUAGUAGUAACAAUUCUAAGUGAAUAUCAUGAGAAAUGAAACAGAAUCCCCAAAAUGAAGACAAUAUAAGCUAUGUUUCACGGAUACGCUCAGAACUGCCAUGUCAUGUAUCCAUGUACAGGAUACACAGAGAUAUGUAUCUGAAAGUAUCCCCUUUUUUUAACCAUUUAGAUACACAUGAGAUAAUUGAGCUACUUUGGGGGAUACGCGUGUAAGGAAGGUACUUGCGCCAAAGCGCAGCCCAAGUUGAUGAAAAAUUUGUGAAAUUCCAAAAGGAAAGUAAAAGAGAGACCAAGCGUGUGCCUGGGCUGGAGAGGCCACCGCCACCCACAUCUCGCUCUGCUGCCAAGCACUGGAUCUCCUGACGCAACCUAAAUCUCCAUCACCAUCCGCUAUAUCUCCACCACCACUCAGGUCUCUGCUGCCCACCCCUGUCCUAGUGUCCUCCGCCUCUACAUGUGCCGCCUCCACACUUGCAGCCGGCAACUCUCCCCUCACCCUCUGUUUUUUGUUGGUUGCUGCUUCUCGUUGGCUGCUGUUGUUUGUUGAUUUCUUUGCUGCUUUUCUUUGGUUUGGUACGGAAGGUGAUGGCUUAUUAUGUGGCGAGUGUCACAACCCUAAGUAUCCUAUAUAUAUAGCUGUUUUUAGAAAAUGCCAUAUCUCAGUACCCGCGUCCCAGUACCAUGCAACUUAGAACAUAAGAGCAAUUAGACACUCAUGACCAUGGAAAUAAAAGGAGGAGCUUUGGACACUGUUGGUUAAGCAAUAUCAUGCAGACAGAACAAGUACUAGCUGAAACAGCUUUAUGCAAUAGCAUUAAAUUUUAUCUAAUACUUGAAAUGUACUAUUACUAGUUACCUACGAAAUGAUCCAUAUCUUACUAAGGUCUAAUUCUUAAAGAAAAAGCACAGCAUGAUCUUUGCUUCAGUUUUCUUCCUAGUUCACUGAUCUUUACCUUACAGUAGCGUUUGAACUUUCCAUAGUAAAGAGUGUCAGCGAGAAUAAGAACUGCAUGCUGCCGUUUCACUGUGAACCACUGCAGGAGGGGAGCACAUCAGAAAUUCAGAAUAUGGGAUAUUGGACUAUAGGAAAACAUGCCAAUUGCUUAGAUUAGAAGAUAAAGGAUGAUUCAAAUUCAUAAAAACUUAUGUAAAGUAUUGAAAGUGAGGAAAAGGAAACAUGAUGCAACAUUUGGUUACCAUAUAAUAUAAAUAAAAAGAGUUUCCAAUUCAUCCUUAUUAUUUUUUUCUUAUUUUUAUAAGGCUUUAGAUAAUCCACCAAUUUCAUUUUGACAGAGUAACUUGAAUUAGUUAAAGGAGACGAGGCUUCAACUUUCUAGGAAAUCAAGUAUGUCAAACUAUCACCUGUGCACCUUUUCUCCAAUCUUUCUUGACAAUCUCAGGUAACAUAUGCUCAGAGUAUCUACCUGCUCCAUGUGGACCUGGAUCAUCGAAACUGAAAAAUAAUAAUUUUGGCAUGUCAAUAGAGAGGCUACGAUGUUUGCAACAAUAAUGGAUUAGCAGGAAACAACAGAUUUGUAAUGAAACAUUUUUUCAACUUUAAUUAGGAAAAAAAUAAAUUGCUUCUAUACAGAAUCAUCUGUAACAUAACCUUCAUGACGUUCACUUACCAGUCAACAAAACUGAUGUUCGUCUCCAUGAGAUAACUAUAUACAUAAUCGAAGUUAUGCAGGGGUACACAACUGUAAUAAGAACAAAGCAUUAGGAUAGGGAUAUGCAAUGCAAAUUUAGAUGAGGACAAAGGAAAUGACUAACCUCUCAGAGAGCAAGACAAAAUGCUGGUUAUCAGGAUCUUGCAGUGCAUUUGCCAAGAGCCUCCUCUCUGCAUCAAUCAUAGAAACUGUACCCCAGGCGACCUACAGGCAAAUUGAACUAUUACUUUCUUUUUAGAAAAACAAAUACUUUCUUAAACAAUUAAAAUGUUAAACUGUGAAACAAUCUUGGAUCCACUAUGCUUAUCAGGCAGCAAGCAAUUGUACAGGCCAUGAUAGUGCCUCUUAACCAUAAUGGUCCAACAGCAUUAGCAGACUCCAAGUCUUAAUCAACAAAAUGCAACAUUGCAUGAAACCAAAGAGUGUGGGUGUCUGUAUUAUAGAGAAGCUGGGAAAACCUUUCUUACGUCAAUUAAAAUUAUACAAAAGGAGUCAAUUUAAGAAACACAAAAUAAGGCAAGCUCUAAAUCAAUUCUAGCCGCUUACCUUUUCACUGCGAAUAUCCCUGUCAGCGAAUAUUGGACUUGUAUGAACUGGCCUUUCUCUUGAAGCAUGUACGUAUAUCGUGUAUCUGUCUUCAUGUCCCUGAAAAGGUACAUCCAGACAGCAAGAUUCAGUAUUUAUGCACAUGCAACAGAGCAAUUGAGCAAAUUUAGUUCCUUCAUGAGGUAGGUCUAUUAAUUUGAAGUUCUUGUAUCAAAUAAAGCAUGCAUGAUAAUUAAUAAUCUGUUUUUGGAGAAGACAUUCAUAUCAGUACCAUGUCAUGCAAAAUCCACGGAGUGUACAAAUUUUCAGUUAAGACUAGUCAAAGAUGUAUUUAGUGCAAUUUUGCAAAUAGAGCCAAAAAUCAUUACCAUGAAGAACUUUUCCCAAAGCUUCUCAAAAGGCAGUGAACUGGGAGUCAAGAACAUGAAAGCAAUUUUUGGAUUCUUUGACUGAACUGGCUGCGCCCGAAUAAUGUCUCUUAUUACAACCCGAGCAGCUAUCUCGUCAUCAGUGUAUACCCUUGCAGGUUCUGGAGGAGGCUUGGAACUACAGGAAUUUGACAGGUAACAAGCCGUGUAAUGCUGGGGUUUAUAAAGAUAAGCUGCAGUAACUAUUGCACAGACAAGAGCAAUCAAUACGACGAUCCAGAGAGGCCUUCUAGAUGAAGAUCUAUUGCGUGGUGCCAUGAUCGAGGUGUACAGGGUACAAAGGCCGGACUUCAGAAUCUACAUCUAGCAAGUUUCCCCUCUGCAAUCAUCCGAGCAUAUUAUUCUGGUAGAACAGCUGAACCUAUGAAAACCUGGAAACACAAAUGAAAGCAUGUUAUUCCUUUUCUUGUUAACAGAUUCAUAUCUUUGACAAUAUGGAGGCCAUGAAACUAUUCACCAACAUCUUCAAAACAUCAUAGUAUAGGUGGCACUAAAAUAAACAUGAAAACAUUUGCACAAGUUCUUGUUUUCAGAGCAGACCAUCAUUCUUUAUAUCGACUCAAAAAUGGAAGGAACAAUAUAAUAUUACCUAAAACUGACACGACGCUAACGCAUUUGGGUCAUACUUUUAACUCUGGUUGACAUGGCAGGUGAGCAACAGCACUCUUUAUUAACAAAAGGGGAGAUCAACUGAGGACAGUUGCGGCAUUGAUGCGGAAUCCGCGGGGUGCAGCUACAAGAGGGACGAAAUUCCUUCGGUUUGCUGUUGCUUGUCCUACAACCUAAGACUAAGAGCAACUCCAAGAGAUGUCCGAAACGGCUCCCCCAUACCAAAUCCAUCAACGAACUCAUCGGAGCAUUCCCUCCCACCAACGUACCUCUUCCUUCCCGGUUUCCCUCUUCUGCAGCUUGCCUCCCGUCGCCGCCCGUCACCAAGACCAGUUGCUUGAUCCGGACGGGGGCCGCUGUCGGGGGAGGAUGGGACUCGAUCCGGACGCUCGGGGAGGUUGGCUGGCCGUGCUCUCCUCUCCGCGGGGGCGAGGCCAAGGCAAGGCGGCGCCGUGGGAGAGGUGGGCGUGGGCUCGCAGGCGGAGGCGACGGCUGAGGUUGGAGUGGGCGCUGGAUCGGGAGUGGGAAGCGGAGGGGUUGGGCUUCGGUGGUGAGCACGGCGGCAGCUCUACGGCACGGCUGUGAGUCCGGAUUGGAGCUUGCGUGGGUCAGGACUGGCUCGCUCAGGAGUCAGGACUGAGGACGAAAAGGAAGAGGAAAAGGCAAAAGAAAGGCGUAGUGGUGGAGAGGAAAGGUGAUGGCUCUGGAUUCUGAUCUAGAUGGAGAUGGAGAGCGGUUUCCUUUUCUUUUAUGGAGGCUAGUUUACUUCUUAAUUCACAUGGAAACAAACUGACUGUUACUAUCAUCAUGUCAUUCUUCUACUUACAAAGAAAAAUUGGAGUUUGUACUUAUUACACAAACAUACAAACAAUAUAGAAUAAGUUUCAUCUGAGAUCAUCGAACUUGAUUAGUCGUAUAAAAUUGUAGUCAUGCGACAUGAACGGUUUUCAAACAAUUGUGAAAGGAAACUAUUUACAUCUAUGAACGAAAUUUGUAUCUUUACUAUCUUUUGAUUUACAGGACCAAUUCAAUGAUUAGGCCAAUCAAAUCUAAUAUAGCCUUCCUGAUUCCAAAAGUUAGGACCCCUUAAGUCCAAUACAAUUAGCACGUCCCUAAAGCAGUUAAAAACAUUUUUUAAAAGUAUGCCCCAAUAAACGGAAGAAAGAAAUCUAGAUGGAGAAGAACAUUUACUACUCCCUCCGUUCCGAAAUAACUAACGUGAAUUCGUAUAUAUUCUAAUACAAAUCAACGUCACUUAUUUUGGUACGGAGAGAAUAUUAGAUUAACAAUAAUAUACUAGUACUAAUAAAUUAAGCCGCAAUGUGUGGGCACUUAGCUACUACGAGUAUUCUGGUAAAAAAAAUAGCUAAUACGAGUAUAAUAUAUUGAACUCAAUAGAUAUUUUCAUAAGUAAAAUGCACAAGCGGUCCUUAUUCUUAGGUAAAUGUGCCAAGUUAAUAUCAAAUCUUUGAAAAUACAGGAGUGGGAACAUCGUUGCUCAUGGGCUGGCAAAGUUUUAGUUGUGUUAAUCAUUGUAAGGGUAAUGCUUGAGUCAGUGCAGCACCUUUUUUUGUCAGACUUCUUUAUCUCGUGGAUUUGUUAAUGCAUUAUUCAAUUUUUAAAAAACUUUGAAAAUGCACAUUUAGGUACUAAACUAUGUUCAGUGGUCCUUUUAGAUCCUAUAUGUGUUACGCCCCUAUGAUUGAUUGACAUGGCGGUUUGAUUUUGUCACGUCGGUCUUGGCCUAUUGCAUCUGAAGUUGUUGGCCGCACCGAUACUGAAGCCCCUGACCACCCCAGCAUCGUCAUUGGGCGGUUCCGCAAACUGGACCACCACACUUCAAACCAUCGUGCCAUGAGAACGGUGAGAGCAUCUUCAAUGCAGGUGCUAAAGGCUAGUGCUUAGGAAACCGGUUUAUUCUUAAACACUGGUGCUUAUUUAAGCACCUAUCCUAUAGAAAUAGGCACCAGUGCUUGGAUAAAUCUCGGUUUAUUUUUUAAAAGCAUCUCUCUAAACAUCUUGCAUUGUACAUGCUCUGAUGACGCUAAGUAUUUUUUUUUUGGAAAUAUAAAUACUCCCUUCAUUUCACAAAGAAUGGCACGCACGCAUUUCAAGAUUUUACUUUGACCAACAAUUAGACUAAUGAUUUGAGAUUUUUGUGUUGCAAAAAUUAUAUCAUUGGAUUAGUAUUUCAUAAACCUUUCCAACGAUAUAAAAUUUGUAACAUAUAUCUACAUACAAUUAGUCUAAUCAUUGGUCAAAGUUCGACCUCGAAAAACGUGGGCGCCAUUCUUUGUGAAAAUGAGGAAGUAUAUUAUAUAUAACCAGGGGUUACAAAGCAGCAUACAACAGUGCAACUUUGCAUGUUUUGAAAUCAAGAACAGUGAGUCGCAAACCAAGACGGGGAAGACUACAACAGGAGUCUGAUGGUGAGCCAGUUGAGAGAGUACUGACGCACAGCCACGGUUGAAAUCUUCGAGGGCCUAUUUAGUGUUAGCCAGCCGAAGAGCCAGCGACUCUCCUAGCAAUCCAGAGGGUAGAUGCAUUAGAGGUGAGUAAAAGUUGAGCUGUAGAUUUAGAGGAUGCAACAUUGAGCCCAACCUGAAACUUUCUUGCUCACACAAUCUGGAGAUCAGCAACAAUGGCUCUCUCACCUGCCGUCGGUGAAUCGGCUCAAGUGAGCAAGAACCACCGUCUUGAGCAAGAUCAUCAACCACUCUUGACUUUAAAAUGUAAAAGAAACACUCUAAACUAAGGCACUUAACACCCCCAGUGAGAAGCUUCGGAACGAAAUAUACAGGAACAACUCUGAAGCACAGAUUCUGAAACACACCGAGACACAGAGCACCAGCCUUCAAGAACAUUGCAGAGCCCAAACUACCUAUUUCUUUGACGAAGGCCACCAGCAAGAUGGAGCCAUGGAGACGACAAGUGACGAGAACGAAAGAUACAGCCUUGCCCAAGAGGGGCACAUCAAUUGUACCUUGGAUUCUCGUCAUCGCCUUGCAAGAAAUUGCUCCAUACAACUCGCUGGACAGCAGGCACAAAGGAGCACCCUGGAUCGGGGAGCCAUCACGGGAACACAUCCAGUGGAGGAAAGAGGCCAUUCUAGUGCAGGCGCAGGAGGCCAACACCUUGGAUUUCGAAGUAGUAGACGACACCAACCUCCACUCCGUUGAGACGGUCACCGGAACGCAGUCGACCUCGAGAUCGAGAUCCACCGCUGAGUUGAAGACGCGCUGGGAUCUAGAAGUUUGGCGCCCAUCAUCUCCAACCAUCUCCUCAACCGGCUCAAAAGCAGCUCCAAUGAUGAGGAAGCUCACACCGCCAGAUCCAUAGUGAUUUAGCCAUGGCCUACGGCAAAAAACAUGAGAGAGAAGAUUUGAAGGAAGCGGGGAAGUGCACUCGGUGGAUUUAUUGGGAAAGAAAAGAAGAAGAAAGGGAGCAAUCCAGGCCAGGAUGCAUCGGGCCUUUUCCUCUUCAUCCGCAAGAGGCAGGGAAGGGGAACACAGGUCGGCCGAGGCAGCCAAGAUCGGGAUUUCUCCAAGAAGAUCCGUCGAAAGAACGACGGGAAACAACCUACUAGAUAUUACUAGAGACGCACAUACUCCCCUUCCCCUCCCACUCGUUCAUCUUGCGAGAUCUUCAUCCAUGGUGAUCUUUCAGAAACUUUUUCCUGGUACAUUUUCCUGGUAAUUCUAUCAAGCUACGCUUGUCCUGUUUUUUUCCUGAUUCGUGGUGGUUGUAUAACUUCGCCCUUUUGGUCCUAAUAUUAUUCUUUCUUUUGCAAGAAAUUUCUAUUCGUGUGACGAAACAUCUCAUUCGACUGCCCUGAUACUUUUUCGGCCUAAGGUUGAUGGCCACAAUGCUUAAGGUCGAUCGUAAGCUCCACAAAGUUUCUUGUGGCCGAGCUUAUUUCCACAUUGCUGAUGCCUGACUAGUGUUUUGUCAAGUUCAUUCAGCCCAGCAGGACGACCUUGCUGGAUGAAUUUGUCCAUCUUCACCGGGCGCAAACAGAAUCACUAAACAUAGUUUUAGGAUCCAUACCUGCAUUUUCCAAAAUUUGGAACCAACUGGAUACCUUUACAAAAGAAUUAUGACAUUUUACUGUAUUUCCACCUCCAUUUCUUUACAGCUAAUAACCAAAUAUAUUUUUGUGUUUCUCGAAUUUGAGAGAUCCUGCUUGCUGCAGCACUGCCGCCCCCAAAGAAGCAGUCCUUCGCCAAGAUUUCUAUAUACAUAAUUUGCCGCAGAUGAAGUGCUGUAAUAAUUUUCGGAAUCAAAGCGAAAAUGUCAAGAAGAAAGGGUGGGAGCACCCAUCCUGACUGCUGUAGUGAUUCAGCUACUUGUCCCAUAUUAAAGGGAUACAGCAUUGCAUACAGCACAAAACUUCCAUAACUGAACUUAGUUAAAGGUGUUUUAUCAGCAUAACUAAAUUACAGCUUCGUACUCUAACUAAGAAAAUCUAAGAUGAAGUUAUUAACUUAACCACCUUUUUUCCAAUUUCUUAAGCGCACUGAUACGCUACGCACUAGUAUAUCUUUGCACUUUCUCAAAUCCUUCAAAAGAUGCAAAAUCAAGGAGAAGACAAAAAGAGCAGCAUCCUUUCAGACCGACAGAAACCUGCUUCACCAAAAUUCAGACCUGUGCACCAUUUCUUCAGCAGCAAAAUUUAACUGCUGACGAGGCAAACUUUGGUCGCUAGUAUAUGCAUAUAUGUAUAUACUUUCGAUCCUACUCUACAACGAUCUCAGGCAGUUUCAGCAUGCUGUGGCUGCAGCAGUUGCGUACCCUGGUCCUGCAACAGCGACUGCCCGUGCCAAUUCCACCAACUUGCCAGCUUGAACAAAUGUCUUUACCUUUCAUUUCGCAUCCCUUGAUGCUAAUAGUGCUGCAACAGUUUAUGCUGCUGCAAUCUGUCGGAGCUGGAGCACAAUCUUUUGCCUUCUGGUGAUGUCUGCAGUCUCUCUCUUUGGGUUCUUCGCUCUGGUGACCGCAUUGGCUUUGCUUCUCAUGGUGAUCAUGCGAUGCAUCCUCGAUCGAUAUCGAGAGCUCUUGAAUUGACCCAGCUGAACUGUCUUCAUGUUUAUGGUCAUGGCAGGAGUGUGUAUCUGCGGUGUGCAAAGGUUCCUGUUCAUCACAGCAAUGAUGCUGAUGAUCAUCCUGGUCAUGGUCAUGGCAAACAUGCUCAUUGGCACAAUGCAAGCUGAUUGGUUCUUCGCAGUGCUUAUGAUCAUGGCAAGCAUGUUCAUCGGUACUAUGUGAACUCUUAGUUUCCUCACAAUGGCCAUGAGCAUGGCCAUGACAAGCGAGCUCCUUGGUAGAAUGCGAGCCACUGGGUUCUUCGCGGUGGCCAUGUUCAUGGUCAUGGCAAUCAUGCUUGUUGCUGGAGUGCGGGUUGCUCGGCUCUUUGCAGAUGUUCUGGGUAUGCUCAUGACCAUGGGAAGCAUGCAUGCUUGUGAACAUCUGGUUGCUAGGUUCCUUGCAGUGGUUAUGGCCAUGACUAUGAUCAUGGCAACCAUGCUUGUCUGCAGAAUGCAAGUUCCUCGGCUCUUUGUGAUGGUUAUGCUCAUGGUGAUGAUCAUGGCAAGCAUGCUUACCUGCAGAUGAAUCUACACCACUGCCUGUUGAUCUGCACGGACCAUCCGAGCAAUGGUGGGAAGUGCCGUGCUUCUUUGAAUGAGAUCCAUGAUGAGAAGAAGCGCAACAUUUCUUUGCCACCUUUCCACUGCCUUUCUCUCUCAGCAACAGCAUGCUGUACAUGAUCACCAACAAACAUGUGCCAACAUCAGCAAGGACUGCUGCCCAGAUAAGCGGAUGUCCGGCAAAUGCAAGUCCAACAAUUGCAAGCUUUGUAGCCACUGAGAAAACAAUGUUCACGAUGAUAGUCCGGUGUGUCCUCCUUGCCAGCUUGAUAGCCUUCGGAAUCCUGCGGAUGUCAUUUGACAUAAGAGUAAUGUGGCUCGUCUCCAUUGCAACGGCUGAACCGGAAACACCCAUGGAGACUCCAACAUCAGCCUUAGCCAAUGCUGGGGCAUCAUUCAUGCCGUCACCGAUCAUCAGUGUAGGGCCAUCUUUUGCCUUCAGUUCAUCAACAAUUCUCACUUUGUCUUCUGGCAGAAGUUCAGAGUGAACCUCAGCAAGGAGGUUUCCCAGCUACCAGAAAGAAGGCAGAAGCAGCAAAUUAGGUGUUGUGCUUGUAUCCACUAGAGAAAAGAAAGCAAACCAAAACAGAAUCGACAUAAAUUCUACGGAAAAUCUUUUACCUGGUUCUGUGCAUAUGUGGCAGCGGCAGUACUAUCGCCUGUAAGCAUCACCGACUUGAUGCCCAGUGAUCUCAACUCCUUGAUGGCUUCAGCUGCUCCAGUUCGGCAAGAAUCAGAAAGAGUGAAUACCCCAAUCAAUUCCUUGCUGCAGACCACGUAUCCCACGGUAACUCCUUUCAUAUCCUUCAUGUCUGGAACUAGAGCAUAAAAAGGAAAAUCUUACACAAUCGUUUAGCAGAUGAAUACUUCAACAUGAAUCGUGCUUUGAUGAAGCAAAUAGAAGAUGACAUACGGUACAAGAUCCUGUCAAAAUGACUAAUGUCAAUUUCCCUGAACGAGAGCCAUUUUUAUUACAGUAACUUCAUGCAUUGGGAGUCUAAAUAAUUCAGAUGGUGUGGAUCAACGUGGUGUUUUCCCCAAGGAACCCCGUAUUGUGCUUUUAGGAUAUAAGAGAUUCCAAUUGAAACCUAGCAACAGAAUGUCAAUGACACUCUUAACAUACUUUGGAAGUGUUGAUUUCACAUUCGACCAACCUGUUUGACAUGAAGCCCUUGACAAGAUCCUUUUGUUCCCAACAUAUACUCCCUUUCCAUCGAUUUCACCAUAAAUUCCCUCACCAGGAUAGAUUUGGAAUUCAGUAACAUUUUCUGAUUUUGGUUCCACGGAGUUUGAUUGCGCAUGAUCAACAAGAGCAGAAGCCAUUGGGUGGCUUGAUCUGCUCUCAAUGCUUGAGACCCUAAACAGCCAUGAAAUUGAAUUCAGGCACCGAAGAAGAUUGAAUCACAUACCGUCAUUGUUGUGCAGUGUGACAUCGACAAAGAAACAGCACUAACCAGUAAAGAAGUUUUUGCUUCGGAACACGCUCGCCAGCUGUCCGAAACUCCUCGACAGAGAACUCCCCUCUAGUAAUUGUACCAGUUUUGUCAAAAGCAGCAACUUUGAUACUGGCCAAGGAUUCAAGGACAUCCCCUCCUUUGAUGAGGAGCCCUGUCCUUGCGGCCCUCAGUAACGCGCAGAAGGUGGCCACAGGUGUUGACAGCACAAGAGCGCACGGACAAGCACUCACGAGGAGGACUAGGGCCAAUUGGAACCAGUGUUUGAGGUUGUGUGCUCUGACUAUCACAGGGAUCAAUGCUACUGCUCCAGACAUCAAAACAACAGCUGCAAGGUAAAAAUAACAGUAAGAAAAACCACCUGAUUCAAUGUUUUCUAUCUCUGUUUUUUUUUACUGCAGGCCCAAUCUCGUCUAUUUAGAUUACCAGGUGUGUAGUACUUAGCGCACGUGUCAAUCAGCCUCUGUGUAUUGGAUCUACUGUUUUGGGCUUCUUCAACCAGCCUUGCCAUUUUCGCAACUGCCGAGUUGUCAGCCAUAGCAGUUGUCCUCACAGCAAUGUAACCUGGCAUAUCACCAACACAGGAUCAACGCAGGAUCAGUGACCACCAAUGAAUUUUAGGCAUAUCAGCAAUGUCAAUUCUGCUUACAAUAUAGUAGUAUGUAUUACCAUCUAUGUUGAGUGUGCCAGCCCAGACCUGGGAGUCUGCCUGCUUGGACACUGGGAAGGACUCCCCGGUGAGCGUGCUCUCGUCAACCUCACUCCGCCCAUCGACAACAACACCGUCGAUCGGAACGACUUCCCCUGCCUUGACAGCUAUUACUGUAUUGACCUUCACAUCCUGGGUAGCAACCACUUGUCCAGUCUCUGCCAGAACAGCAUUUUGUGGUGCCAUGCUCAUUAGUGAUGACAUCCCAGCAGUGGCCUACAUGUCAAAAAAGUAUUUAAUAAGAUAUUUCCGAGACAAAGUAGCGAAAAAAGCCUAUGUACAAAGGUAAUAAUUGGUAUUACUUUUUUUAAAGACUUUACUUUAUGUGUUGUAUUCUGCUCAUCCUCUUUCCAAAAUUACUUUUCGCUUAUCUGACUUAGUUUUCCUUAAUCAUGCUUUACACCUAGGUAUGAGUGGGUAUAUGCAUGUUUGAGUCCCCACUAGAUGCAAAGUCAUUUGUCUCUUGGCUGAAAAUUGUUAGGUGGGGUAUGCUAGAAUGGUGAUACAAUCAGCAAAAUAGACCUGACGCUGGUCCAACCAACUACGCCCAGAAUGGCAGACCAAAAUCUGUUCAUAUUUCCAUCAGUAGGGCUAGUGCGCAUCAAAAUCUACAUGCCGCGUUAUGCUGCAUUAAGAUGAUGAAUACGUGCUCCUAAAUGUGACACGUAAAAAAAGUUCCCUUUUCUGGUAAAUUGGAUCAUGAAAGGACCUCAGCAAUCCUGCAAAUAUUUUUUCUGCUUUCCUUUUUAAACAUAAAGAUACAUGGAUUAUUCUGAUUUUAUUUUUUGAAAAGGAGGAAACCCCCCAGCCAUCAUGAUUUGUUAGGCACAAGAAAUUUGUGAAAAGAGAAGGAGAGACCUUGCGGCUCGCCCUGGUCUCGAGCCAUUCGGCUGUGGUGAAGAGGAAGACAAUGAACCCAGCCUCAGAAUAGUCCUUGAGAGCUAUUGCCCCAGCAACUGCAAACAAAGCAAAUAAAACUUGUGAGCUCUUGGCCAUCUCCUGCCAAAAUUGCAGGCAUUAGGGGACGGCAGGGCAGAAAUGAUUAAAGAUAUUUGAUGAUGACAAGAUAGUAGUCCUCCUAGAUGAGGAGAUACUGCCUACAACGCCAAAGUGAAUACUAUAUAUAUGCAUACAUAUAUAUUUUGACGAAAAAGUAGCAACUAUACAUAGACUGCAAAAAUUGUAGAUACAACUUCCCUCUAUAUUUUAUCACUACAAAUAGACCACUUGCCAUUUCAAUGUCUCCUACUAUCAUAAUUGAGUCUCCAUAAAAAAAAGGGAUGCUAACAUGUUUCUAUGUGUUGAAUUGAUCAGGCAAUUUUGUUUUGGCAUAGUAGUGAAAAUAAAAACAAAAUGCUUCGUCCAAGUUAGUAUGCUAAUUGCUUCACGGAUCAAGCUAUCUUGAUACCACAGACCAAACUCCAAAAAGAAUUGAUUCGAACAAAGUGCUGCUUAAUCCAAGUAGAAUACGAUACCCUAUCUGAGUCGACAUCGUCACAUGGAGGAAACGAAGCAGAUUUCUGUCCACUUAGCAUAUAUAUUAGCAUCACGGCAACCUAUCUCUUUAUUACAGUGGAAAGUUGGGGCCCCUCCAGGAUAAAAAAGGCAGGGAGAAGUUUGAGCAAGCGAGGCAUAAGCUUUGAGUAAUAAUUAAGCAUCCCACAUGCAUAUUGGUCCUAGGAAAACAAAUUGUCUUGACCCAGUUUUCUUGGGUCCUUUUGUCACAUUGGAGAAACUGUUUAACAGCACAUAUUGACAUAUAUCAGCAUCAAUAAUUUCAGUCUGGUUGAAUUUUCACCCUGGUGUCAUGUCAGGGUCGCAAACAAACAACAGAAGAAUAUUUCGGCAACAGAAAAUUCUUUCUUCUAGGACUCUGCUUGACAUCGGUGAUAUUUUUAAUAACACUAUUUUUUUAAUGUAGUACUACGUAAGUAGUUAAUUCAUAGCAUUUCUUAUUUGUAUAAGACUACAAAAAAUUCACCAGAACAAGCCAAGUAUGUACUAGUUAUACUUGCCCAAUGCUACUGAGAAUCUAGCGCAAUGUAUUUUUCUCUGAAAAAAAAGGCAAGCCCAAUCACAUGGAAAACAUGUUGUGUGCGUGUGGACAACCAGCGAAUCACAUGGAACAUCACCGUCAGUGGCAGCCAGCAAAUCAUCAAUCCAUCAGAAGGAACGGUACCUGCGAUGAGCAUGAGUAUGUUGACGUCCAGGGUGAGCCUCCGGGCGGCGGCGACGCUCCUGAGGACGAUAGGCGGCAGGCCGGCGGCGGCCCCGGCCAGCGCAAACCACUUGAGCGGCGGCCAGAAGUGCUCGAACAGCGACACCACCAGCAGGGCGCCGCAGACGAGCACGUAGGGGCUAGGAAACUUGUUGGAGAUCUUCUCCGCGCCGCCGCCGCCGCCAUAGGCCCGCACCGACGCCUCCAGCCUCGCCUGGUUCAGCGCCUUGACUGAAAAAAAAAUCAUUAAAACAUAAAUCAGUUCAUCCACAAAUUGGGGCGGUUUCUGCGGGAAGUGCGGAUAUAGAUUUUUUUUUCAGAGAAUAAUAAUAAUAAGAGAUUGUUAAUUGGCCUGCGAGAUUAGGAGGAUUGCUGGAGGCUGAUCUCAUGGUGAACAUUUGAGGAAAAACAAGAAGGGGGAAGAUUUGAUAGAACAAUCACACUCCACUGACCGAGGACAGGACAGGAAAGGAAAGAGUGCAGUAUAAAAAUUCAGAAAGAGCAGAGACAGGAAACAAAAGAAACUGAUCCUUCGCCGGAGUUCGAAAUAUUCUUUCCAUUGCUUGGAGUAAACUAAGAUUUCUUUAUCUUUCAAGCUACUCUAGCACCGAUCCAGAACUCCAGACAAAGAACAUCAGAGACGGCGGCAUCAAAAAAAUCAGACUCCACUACUAACCGAGUACAGGAAAGGAAAGAGUGUAGUAUAAAAAUUCAGAAAGAACAGAGACAGAAGACAAAAGAAAUGAUUUCUUCCCGGAGUUCGAAAUAUCCUUCCUUUCAAGCUAAACUACACGUAGAACCGAUCCAGAAUUCCAGACAUGGAUCAGCAAGGACGGCGAAGUCGGUUUCCACGGCAGCAUCAGAAAAUUAGGAGGGGCCGGCGACAGGGCAGGCUGGCAGCACGUUACCAUCAAAAGACGGACACUGGUCUUGUUCUAGUCUACUGUAGUCAAUCAGUCCAAAUUUCAAACAUGAUUAGACCAAAAGGUUUCAUCAAGAGAGGGUAACAUCGAAAGCAAUCAAUCCACUUGAAACAACCCGGCCCUGAUGCAAUCAUAAUUGGAUCAAAAUUUCCCCAUCACCAAGAGAAAAGAAAGCAAGUCUCCAUGGCACGAGAAGCGCGAGGAGGAAGAGGGAAAUCUGGGCGGAAAGCGACAAGAGGCUGUAAGAGGAGGACGGGGGGGGGGGGGGGGGGGGAGUAUUUACCGAUCUGGGACUGGGAGAUGGCGGCGGCGUCGUGGACGACGAUGACGGUCCUGGAGGGCACGACCACCGUCACCUUGUGCACGCCGGCGAGCGGCUCCAGCAGCUUCUCCACCAGCGGCACCUCCGACGGGCAGCAGAUCCCCAGCACGUCGAAGUAGCUCUUCUCCAACUUGGCCGCCGCCGCCGGAACCGCCGCGUCGUCCCCCAUCCUUCUCUCUAUCUAACUACCCUUCUUGGCAAUCAGCCUCGAGCUCUCUUGGCGUGCGCUCUCCUCUCCCCUCCUGUUUGUUUAUCCCCGUAGGAACCAAAUUAACCUGCAGGCGAGCAAUCUUGGCGUGCAGCCAACCGCGCCGGCGGUAGGUCGAGAGGGAUUGGCAGCAGCAGUAGUAUAAUUUUCACUAGUUCCUUCCGCCGCCAGCCGCCAGCCGCCUAACGGACGCAGUGCAGUCACGGCCACGCAGAGCACUGUGAUGUUGGAAACUUGGAACGCGAAGAGAGUUCUUGGAGAAGACGAGGAAGAGUGAGCGGGGGCAUUUAACGCAGGCAGCCCGCAGAGCAGAGCAGAGGACGCCGACAGGACAGAAGGCUGGUUUUGGAUGGAUGAUGACGAAGGGGGCACUGGGAUUCGAUCGGGAGAAGUGCUUCUUGACUUUCUUCUCCACGAAUCAGAAUGCUGGAUUGCUGGGCUGCUUCGGCUCCGAGUUCUUCUGACACGCUGGAUCCCACCUGAGAAAGAAUUCUGGCGCAGAAAGACAGAGAGGGAGAUGCGUGUGAUGAAGCUGGUGAGGAAAAGGAAGCGUGAUCUCGGAAAGCAAAGAGGGAACAGGAGUAUAUGGGGCAGGGGAAAGGGAGGGGGCGAAGGAAGAGGAUAAACGUGGGUUGUGGCCUUGUGCCGGUAAAUGCAUUUGAUUAACUCCUUCGAUAUGAACGCAAACUUCCAAUUGUUUAGCUCAACUGCCUCCUUUCGUUUCGAAGCACAGGGUGGAGUAAAUGCACAGUUAAUAUUCGAAAUAAUGCGCAGUAAUAAAAAAUAAAGAGAAAAUAAAUGAGUGAUGACCAGUUGAAGGAACUACUGAUCCCUCUUAUAUUUUUUUUUAUUAUUUGUUUUAUAAUACAUCUCAUUCUUUCUUGGCUCCCUCACCCAGCCAAUAACAGCUCACACUCAUUUACUCUUAAUUCAAUAUGACUGAUCAUCAGACACUAAAAACGAGAAUUGUCUCGGACCAAGUACACAACUCUACAUGAGGUGUUUUGUGGAACGAAGUGAGUGAUAGCUAAUGAAAAGACAAACAAAGGAGUAAAUGGCAUUUAGUGUGGUCCUUUCUUAGACGUGAAAUAAAGGGAGAAAAUAUCACAAAACCACAACCGUUACGUCCAUCUUAUCACUUAACCACAACUUCUGGGAUUUUUAUCCGAAAACCACAACCGAGCCUCCUAAUUGCCUCGACUUCCCUUAACAGCAAAACUGACUUGCCCGGCCCACCUGUAAGUCCUGAUUGGGCUGAUGACGGGGAUGAUGCCGUCGCCGUCAAAUUGACGGGGCUGAUCUAAGAGAGAGAGACACGCAGAAUAAAACACAUCAAAUUGAGACUCCGUCGCCGUCGCCUACUCUGUCACCUUAUUUGAGGAGGGGCAAUGGGAACUCGUUCAAUGGAACUAGGUCGAAACCCCAAUAAACCACCCUGCGCCCCGUCAUCAGCCUAGUCAGCACUUACAGGUGGGUCAUGCAAGUCAGUUUUGCUGUUAAGAGAAGCCGAAGGCAAUUAGGAGGCUCGGUUGUGGUUUUCGGAUAAAAAUCUCAGAAGUUGUGGUUAAUUGAUAAGAUGGACGUAAAGGUUGUGCUUUUGUGAUAUUUUCUCAAUAAAGGGCUGUGCCUUAGCUAAGAGAAAAAGGUAGACACUUCUUUCUCCGUUCUCUAUCAAAUUCAGCCAUCACAUUUUAGUCCAUUUGUUUCUAUAUAUCCAAUACACCGUUUUCUCAUACAAAUAAGUUAGAGAAAUAAAUUGUUGUUUGGCUUAUAUUUUAUACAAUUAGUUUUAAACAUUCGAUCAUCCUCCAAUUUUUCUUCAUCUCCAUAUUGUUUCACCCAAUAAAAUGUUGUGCAGGAAAAUUAAACAUGACUAAUUACACGAUGAUUGAUUAUGCUUUAGAAUCGAGUUCAGAUGUAUAUAAAUUUGGCGAAUGUUUGUCUGUUUUACAUGUAUACAUAGGCGACUUGUGGUGAACAAAUUUAAACGAAAAAUAGAAGCUAAAUUUGCAACAUUUUUUUUGAAAGUAACCAUAUAUUUCAUUAGACAAUCCGUUUACAUAGAUUACACAUAUGGUCACGACAUGAGACAAACAUGCUUGUCAAGCAACUUUGCACAAAGUAUCCCGCAAGAAGUAAAAUUACAAUUUCACCUUUGGAGAAACUUGUACCUCGCCGAACCGUUGUCCACCCUCGUCCUCCGCCGCCACCAUGGCAACGCCGGAAAAAAAAGGCGGACAGCCGCCAAACCUAGAUCUGGGAGAGCAUCUUCGCAUAGAAGGAUGCUUUCUGAACCGAUGAAACAGACCACUGCAAGCGACGAGACCGAGACUCUGUGGCACGUCGGCCGGGGAACUUCCCCGUGGUCACCAGAACCAGACGUCGUCAACUUCAUCCAACGCCGUCAAAGAAAAGGAACGUCGCCGCCUGCCGUCAUCCACACACCCAAUUACAAGACAACAAACACAACAACAACAGCCGACACGAUCUUCACCUGUGAGAGUGCCAAUCGCCAGCCACCAGACACGAAUAUCACUGGAUCCAGAGACUGGCGAGACGACCAGGCCACCUGCCCCUCGACGCCACCGGUUGGAGUGACGCCAAGAUGGAGGAAGAGCAUAGACAAAUUAUUCUGACGCGACGCGUUUUCCUCCAUAGAAGCAACGCCUCAAGAAACACUAGGCCAACCCUAACUGACCGGAGCAGAAGCACCAGGGUCCCCACCCCCUCCCGUCGCCUGAGCGGCGGACGAAGGAGGCAGGGACCGUCAGCUGGCCGGUGUAGUUGGGGGCAGAUGGGAGAUCGCCACCGGAUCCUCUCUCUCUCUAGCUGGGAGCGGUUCCUGGGUAUCUUCUACUAAAUUUGCAAUUUUAAUGACAAAGCUAACUUGAUAUCUCGUCAAUAAUAGUAGGAUAACGUAUACGCUUUACUCAUUAACUAAUGAAUAUACAAUCUUGUUUUCUCUCAAGAGUUCCUUGAAAGAAUAUCUGGCGUUCAUUUUGAGAAGCGAAGUAGAAGUAGAAGUAGUACUCCCUUCGUCCAACAAAAGAUGUCUCAAGUUUGUCAAAGUUGGAUGUAUCUAGACAUGACUUAGUGUAUAGAUGCAUUCAAAUUUAGUCAAAGUUGAGACAUCCUUUGUUGGACGGAGAGAGAACAAAAAAUUAUACACAAUCAAAGAAAAAUGCGAAACCAAAGUACGUACUUUUCGAAAACAUUUAAACAAAAACUGCUGACAUCAUUUUUGUUUUCAAAGAGCUAGAGUCCUAGACAAUGUCAUUUUUGGGUGACAGUUUAUAAAGAAAACCGUCGUCCCAAAACCAGCAUUCCUCGAAUCUAAAAGCCGUAACGCCCCGCGGACCAACUAUUCUCCUUAUCAUUUCUUCACGAGCAAGUCUGGAAAAUUUCUCCCUGCUACUAGAAACGAGCCGUUUUUUCCUCGCAAAAAUAAAAUAAAUGCCGUUUUCCCGUCUUUCCCAGGGGAAAACCCCCCGCGUGAACUGAACCCGACGCCAUCUCCGUGCCACCACCGUUUGCACUUUUCGAAAAUUAAGCCAAAAGUGUACUACUCCGGAACGGCGGAACCGAGGCUCACGUCGGCACAGCUAGCGGGCGUGGGCCGGUUCACAAACAAACCGUGUACGUAGUACGUACGUGCCCCCGCCGGCCCGCGUGCGUGUGCGUGCGUCCACAGCCGUCGACAAACGACAGAUACUUACGCUGCUGGCUGCUCCGUGGAAGUUCUGCCCCGGCACGCGUCCUGGAUGCCUGGACGAUGGACGAUUCCAUUUCCAUGGACGACGGGUAGAAAGGUAAAGCAGAGCAGGGCGGGGUUGAAAGGUAAGUGCGGGCGAAUUCAGGCGACACAAUCGUACACCGAGACGAAUCUAGCAUCAUAUUGUUAACCAGUCGUGUCAGGUUCCGUGAGAUGCUGCUUAAUUGGUCUUUUCCUCCGUGCGGGCGAUGCCUUUGCCGCGCGUCCAUUAGUCACUGAUUCUCAGUGGAGUGGAUCAGCGGAUGAGGAACGCGAGCUGGACACGCGCCCGCCCGGUCCUCCACGGGACGGCCGGGCUAUAUAGGUUGUGUUUGGCAAACAAAAUCUCUUAUCAUCCCACUUUUACCGCAUGAGAGUGUGUUUGUUAGGUCGGGUGGCCAUGCAGGACUAAGCCCAUCUCAUACAAAAAGGAGCACUCAGCCUGCCUCGGUUGUGAAGCAGAAAACGAGCUUCGCAUAAGCCUGGCCUGAGUUCAACCCGAAAAAAAUAUCUCGCCGACCCAUCCGACCCAGCCGCCACUCCUCGUUUGACGCCCGCCGUCCCCGUCCUCGCCGUCCCCGACUCGUCCCCAACCGCGCCGUCCCCGCCUUCCCCGACCUCGCCGUCCUUGACUCGUCCGCGACCUCUACUCCCACCAAACAACAUCUCAACUCAUCAUAUCUCAGUAGAUACAGUCUGUCAAACACAUGUGAAAAUCUCAGCUCAACUUGAUUAGGGUCAGCUUGUAUGGGAUGAGAUGUGAAUUUUGAAUUCACCCGGGGUGCCAAACACACCCAUAGUUCACGCAUGUACUUGCUUAUCUGUGUUUAAUUCGAAGUUGUCUAUCUUAACUUGGAUAAAAAAAUUUAAUAUAUAUCUCAGGCAUCUGCUUUUGCAUCCAACUGUCAGCCAUUCUAGCCAUGUACAGUAUCAAUCUUGAAAUGUGUGGUCGGCAUUUUUCUUUAAGAAAUGGCCGGAGAGAGUAUAUAGUGCUAAUAUGCAUCUAGAUCUGUUGCUGUUUCUUUUUAAAAGCUUGACUAAUAUGCUACGCUUUACUAUAGACACUAGUACAACAGCGUUACGGUGUACCACGUACAGUAGUACUUGAUCACUACAUCAACCAAACAUGCACGUCAACAAAACCAAACAACGAGCAUAUAUAUCUGCACAAUCAACGAAGAAGGAUCAUGCAUGACACAUCUGGCAUCCAUCCUUUUCAGGAAGUACUCUCGCACGUAAGACGAAACUUUCCCAAUCGCGAUAGAUGUGCAUGCAUGCAUGUGUCAUGGCGGACGAAGUUGACCUGAAUUAUCCACGACAGUCGUGACGUCUUGGAAAUAUGCUCAACUCCAGUGCAUUCAUUUUAUUUUGCAUCAAUAUCCUAAUUAAAACCAGAGAGAGCAAGCCUAACAGAGAAACACACUCUGACGAAUUGAACAGACGGACCGUAUCAUCAAAUCAUAUAAGCCAAUUAACCAAAGCAACACACUCUCCGUCCGACCAAAUCGUAUCAAAUCAAAGCGAGCUGGUCACGGGCUCACAGCUGACAUUUUUUAACCAAGUAGGACCAAAUUGAAUCAGAAUGAGCCCAGAUCAGGAUCACGGCUCACAAGGAGGGUACAUACACAUAGACUGAGUAAGGGCGAUCGAUGUGCCAAAGCGCGGCAUCCGGCAAGGAGUGCUCCUUGGCAGGUUGGCAGGAGUCUGCCGUCCCCCCUGGUAUUCAUUCCCUAGGAUCCUAGAUAGACAACUCGCAAGCGACGUGGUCAAGCCUCUGAAUAUUCAUUCAUGCAUGCAUGUUUGGUCCGGCCAGUUCCAAUCAUAGAGCCCACCUGCCCAAGUGCCCAGAAUGAAAUAUGCAAGUGUUCAAUCAGCUUGCUACUAGAUACAGUAACUACUUCUGAUCCAAAUCCAGUCACAUGCAUGCAUUGGGGAUCGAAGAGUCGGCCCGUUCUGUCCAUCCUGUCUGCCUCGCCCUCUCCCGUUGUCCAGUUCAACCUUUCUUUUUCUGAGAAAUUAACACACGGUAGAUGCAGAUGCUCACAAACGUACGCCCAGCUGUACGAGGAUUAUACAAUUGGGCAAGGAAAUUCUCAGCGGUGGGCAGUACUGCUGUAACUCUUGGUUCCGUGGCCUCCGGAUGUCCUCGUUUUGCCUCCGGGUGCAUGCAUGGUAAGACCACUAUCACUCUCGGCUCCGGUGGCUUUUCCAACCCUUCCUCCUCCGACCCGCUUUGCUGGCGGCGGUCAAAGCAAUAUAUGCCUCGACGACGUUAGAUCCUGGGUUGUGGUCGGCGCAGCAGUGGUCUCCGUUAGACGUGUUGAUUGUUCGUACCGUCCGUCGUGAUAGUUCUGGAGGAAUAGACACCUCGGUGGUUUACUUUUGCUAGAGACUGGCCUCAUGCCAUUUAGAGGAUUUUCAUAGGAAAUCAGAGUGGAUUUCAUAGGAAAAUUCGCUGUAAUGCAUGUUUUGUAGGAAACAAGCAACAUGAUUUCUUAGGAAUUUCAUGAUUUUUUGUGUUUUGGGAGGAAAAUGAACAUUAGGUCCAACCUACUUUUUUUUCCAUAGGAAUGAGUUUGAGAGUAAUUCCUUAGGACGACAAGUGCCGACCCUACGACAACCGUGUGUAACUUCGAGUUGUAAUUUUAACUUUAGAUAACGCCCUUGGUGUGUUUCGACUUGUACCGUUUAAGGGAUCAUCACUCCACCUCUGUUUUAAUAUAAUGCAGUGCAGGGUCUUCCUUUUCUGUUCACUACCGGAGAAGGAAUAUUUGCCGAGUGCAUCCACGUAAGCCGAGUGCAUAUUAUUGGGCGCUCGGGAUACAACUUUAUAGGUCGAGGCCUACCUGAAAUAACACUCGGCGUAGACAUGACACUCAGAUCUAUGAACAGUAAACCGUGUGCAACCGAAUGGCAGAUACGGCACUCAGCGUAUUAGCUCUCCACUUGUCCUUCCCCUCUAAUUUAUCUUGUUUUGAUAUAGUAUUAAAACACACUGAACACCCGUUCUAGAUCUCGAUCUCUAUAUUCAGUUACUAACUGAUAUUCAGGCCGAGUCACGUCUCUCUCACGUGGCGUUGUUAUAUCAUCUGUCACCGCCAAGUGUGUUUCCAGGAAGGAAGAAGAAAAAUAGCGAAUAAAAAGCCGGCAGCCGCCAUCGUGCAUAUGUGCAUAACAAUAACGUGGCCACUAUUUUCUAUCGAUCACUCUCUGUAGUUGCACGCCGAACGGAGUCCUAAAUGAGAUUAAGUAUAGUCUACUGGUAGUAUGUGUCGAAAAUUUAUCCGAAUCCGUUACCAAUUUUUGCUAAACGUAGCAAGAUAGGUUUGUACUUUGUAUUGGUAUACGAGUUGAACUUGUUUUCCUUGUCUUACUAGGACUCAUCUUUAUUGCCCGUUAUAUAUACCCCACGAAUCGCACCUAAAACAUCUCGUGCUUGUAAUACUCCAACAUAAUGAAGUUGUGACUUCGUGCGUCCGUGGUUUUUCCCGCAAAAGUUUCCAUAGUAAAUUCGUGUCGCUCGUUUCUAAUUUAAUCUCUAUUUUUUUCUUAACAUACUUAACAAGAUUGGGGAGCAAAGCAUGAAGAGCAGUUAGUUAGGUCGAUGCAUGUGCCGUGCCAUCCCGUCGUACGUGUACGCCUGUGAGCCAGCUGCAUGCAGUCUCGAUCGAUCACCAUCGUUGAGGACGAGCAGACAAGGACAGAAUACAACUGCUGAUCUCGAGAGGAUCGCGAUAUACACCGGAGAACCAGCACUCGUACGACAACUGGCUAGGCUCGGUUGGAUAGCAGGUUCAAAACCAGGAAUCUUAACUCAAAUAAUUUUGUUUUAUUAAUUGUCUUAAUUCCUCUUUGAGAUGAAGGUUUUUUUUCGAAAAGGACAACGAAGUAUGAUACGAUGGCGUGGCACUUUUGUUUUCUUUGACAGGCUUUUUUUUUACAGCUUGAUCGACAGGCUUUGUUUCAUCUGUCUUGAGAUAACAGAACCGCGGUAGCAGGCGAUCGGGAUCUAUCUCAAAGAAUUUUAUUCCCUCGUCGGCCCUCUCUCCGUGGCGCAGUAAACAUAUAUACUUCUUCCGUCUAAUAAAAGAUGUCUCAAUUUUGACUAAAUUUGAAUACAUCUAUACACUAAGUCAUGUCUAGAUACAUUCAAAUUUUAACAAAUUUGAGACAUAUUUUGUUGGACGGAGAAAGUAAAAAAUUCCAGAUAUUCUUGCAGUAUUGUAGAGCGGGUAUUUGACCCCGGUUGCAAGAAACUCCAUUUUGGCAUUCGAGCUUUGGGCAUCACUCAACAGUGGCGAGCAGUCUCCACAGGUCGGUUGGUGAUUGAAACUGAAAGGCAGCCGUGCACGUACGAUGCAUGUGUAUGACUUUAUAUGUGCAUGCUGAAGAAGCAGGCACUAGCAAUAAUACACAUCUUUGCAAUGUGCAUGCCACAUUUGCGGAGUACGUGCAACGAUUUGACAACAUCGAUCAUGUAUAGUGCACCAGCCAGACGAUCGAUCGAUUAAUAAUAUUUUUUCCGUCCCAUAUUAAAUGACUCAAAUUUGUCCAAAUAUGAAUAUAUCUGUACCUAAAAGUGUCUAGAUGCAUGUAAUAUUUCGUCACUUAAUAUGGGAUGGAAAAAGUAUAUACAUAUUUCUUUUGGGGGUAACGCUGGUAUAGAAAUAUAAGUGGACUGUCUUUCGUUUUCUAUCAGUUUAAGUUUUUGGUUGAACUGGUUCGGUGCAAGAAAUUGUUCAUGGUAUCAGAACCAAGAGGUUUUGAAUUUAAAAUCCGGCUGGCGCAAUUAAAUUACAACCCAGUUUCGGUUCACGUUUAGUCGUAAGGGAGCCACCUGUGAGAGAAGUGUUGAAAUAUAAGUGUAUUGCGCUUCUUUUCCCAUCAGUUUGAGCUUUUGGACAUGCAUGAAACUCUUGGAUGUACUCCUUCCGAUUCAUUAUAAGUGUCGGAGAUUUAUGUUAGUACAAAGUUAGUACAAAUUACUAACUCCCCAACACUUAUUAUGGAUUUAUGGUAAAACAAACCUAGAAAUUGCACGUAGAUAAAAUUCCGGUUAGGUUCGGCCUCGCCCCUAGUGGCAGACAUGCAUAGUCUUAUUGGCGUUACAUACGACGGCGUACGUGCGCGCACUGGCCUUUUGCGUGCACGACACGACACGAAGGCAACGUACGCCUGGUGAUCGAGCGAGUGACCCGGCUUGAUAACGAGGCAUGUACUGUAACAACCAAGCUAGCUAUAGGAGGGUGAACAUGUACACACUCUGCGUGCCACGAGGAAAGCCGCACUCAUCCGAGAUCCGACUGGGCGACACGGCCGGCAGGGGUGGGGCGACGCUUUAAAAUACUUUUAAAAAUGGUUAAAAAAUACUACUGGUGUCUGGUACUAUGAUGUAAAGGUAGGAGUAAUAAUGCAUAUAAUUGACUUAUUUACCUAUGUGAAUUGUGAAGAACAUGCAACACACACUUUGUGUAUAUAUUACGUGCCACGACGAAAGCCACACACGAGACCUGGUUAAUACAAGCCAAACCCCGUACGUGCAGGUUAAAUCUGGCUUAAGAGGGAUAUAACAAAGUUUAGUACGGGCUCGAUGUCGAGUAUUUUUCCUUGUGAAAUUAUAAAGUGCAUCCUUACGGCUAUAGGUGCAACAUGGUGAUCCUCAAGGUAUCCUUUGGUCCUCAUUAGUUCAAACAAAUGAACUAGUUUUUCAAAAAGUUAUGUUGUUGUGACUUGUGGUCGUUGAGCCAUUCCUCUAUUCCACAGUACAACGUGUAUAAUUUUUUUUCAUUGUUCUACAAUACAUCUUAUCUUUCUUUUGGUACCCGCAUCCGGUCAAUAACUAGUCACAUCCAUUUAUUAUUAACCCAAUAUGAGUGGUCAAACACUAACGAGAGCUGUUUUGGCCCAAGUGCACAAAUCUAUAUAAGGUGUAUUUUGGAAUGGAGGAAGUAUUCAGCUUUAGUAUCCAAUGAGCUAGUCAGACGUGAGCUCCGUGGGGACUUUGACCAAUCAGAGUACAUUAUUAUGAAUGAUGUUGACUCGAAGGCAGAAGAUGCCCAGAAAUAGCAAUAUAAUGCGACCAUGAGCUGAAGAAGCAUGUCGAUCGGUCAAUAUAAAAAACAAGCUUACUGUUAUAAGUGGUGGUGGAAUCUGACAAAAAGUAGAGUGGAAAAAACAUAAACACAUUGCUGUUUUGUAUAAUACUCACAGUAAAGUAUUUAAGUGGGUUGUGUGUUGGACUAGGUGUCUAGAUUGCUUUCGAUCGCCAUCGAUAAGUUAGCAGAAUCCCACUGUCAGGUUAGGCCAAUCAUGCAUGGGAAGUUGGGAACUCCUGCCCUUUCCCUCUAAUUUCUGUCAGAAAGCUGCCCGUGUUCUUAAAUUGUUGGAUUAAACAUGAAACGAGAUUGCACGUACGGCAUGCCACAAAUGGGUAUGUUUCGUUUGAAAGGUAUGCUAUACCUUUAUUUUAUGUAUCUGUCUAUUUCUCUGAAAGAAUACACAUUUACCUAAUGGCCUAAUAUUUAAUUAGGUAUUAUGGAUUAAGAGAUUAAUUAGGUCUUACCUUUGGCACCAUUUAUAUAUCCCCAUCCAGAUCAAAAGUAUUGAUUUGAGCUAGACAUGUUAAAAAUGGAUUGUUCAAUGGAACCUUUUUCUUCUUAAGAAUUAGAAGUACAAAUUAUAGGGCUUACCAAAAGCACGAUAACGCGUGUGAUUCACAAGAUAAUACAAUGAGCUGAUACAUUACCAUUCUUUUUAUCAAUUCUGCUAGAUUAAAAUUUAGUUUGAUAACUGUACUGUCCACUCACUCGCAACAAUUAAUAUGUUGAAAUUGUUACCUGUAGCUAAAUGUUGCUUUAGAUGUGCGUUAAAGGGUCAUAUGCUAACUACCCCCUAUAAUUGGUUAGUGCUGCUCUGUUUCCUCUUUGGAAAGGUGAAAUAAUACAUUGGUCGAAGUUGCUGAUGCAUCACCCUAUUUUUAUUUGGACCGUUUUUAUUUAAAUUAAUUCUGCAAGAUCAAAAGUACUAGUUUGAUAACUGUCCACUCACAACAAUUAAUAUCUUGAAAUUGUUAGCUAAAUGUUGCUUUAGAUGUGCGUUAAAAGGUCAUGCUACCCCCCAUAAGGUUGCUAGCUAGGUGCUUCAUUUCCUCUUUGGAAAGGGAAGAAUACAUUGGUCGAAGUUGCUUUCCUACGUACUGUCAAUCUACACUAACAGUAGUACAAUAUAUUCAGGAGAUCAAGCAGAAAGAUAAAGCUAGCUAUGAAACUUGAGAGUAAUGAAAGGUAAGAUCAAAUGGAGAUAACAUAUAUACAGUCGAGAACCCAAUAAAGAACAGAUAGCGAAAAAUGGCAAGAUAUCAUGACUCAUGUUCCCACCAUAUUGAAACACAUGCACGCACUAGCUAGCUAACUUGGUCACCUAUAUGGCCUAUGCUAUUAUACAUAUGGGCUAGAUAGAAUCUAUGCAAUAUGCAUAGAUAUAUACUCCUACAAAUACCGUAUGCACUAUAUAAGAAAAUAGAUGGGGCAAAUUUGCUUCUUGGGCUGUACGGUUCUAUCAUCGGCAAGCUAGCAAGUUGCUUGUUCUUCUGUUUUCUUAGUAUUAUCCCCUCGAAGAGAUCACGCAUGGAGCUAUUGGCAAUUUGGCUGCAUGCAAACUGGCGUUAAUUGGACGAUUGGAUCCGUGGUAGGGGCCGGGCGAUUGAUCCGUGCCGUGCGUAAAGAGAAGAGGAGGCAGGCAUCGAUCAAGGCAACGAAACGUGGCGGGCCGGCGUCGUAGGUAGUGCUGCAUGCCACACGACGCCGCGACACUGCGACAGCCGUGGAAGCUAAGCUAAGGAACGACGACAAUUCUUCUUAAUUCUCCAGAUAGCGCAACAAGGAGAGCGGAAAAAUGGGAGAGAGGGAAACGAUGAGGGGACGGGGACGGGGUCGAGCUAUCUAGGAAUCUAGGCAAGCUAGUGGAACGUGACGAUGUCGCACACACGAGAAACAACUCGAUGUGGCUCGAUCGAGUCGUCAACCACUCGUGCGUCAAAUCCAUCGGACGGGGACAGACAAUCAUGAGUGCACUCAUAGUAGGCUGCGCACCAUGCGUCCAUGCGUGCUGCCAAGCCAUUUCAGCGAACGCAAGCAAAGCUAGCUCAGGCCGAAGCCCAUGUAAGUUCGUCCGUAAGUUCCUCACCAGCUUUCGGCCCUCGCCAUCUUGAUCUUUCCGGCGCGGCCCAUUCUGAUAAGCAGCCUUUUCGCCGUCAUGGGCCGUCACGUCGUAGCCGAGGAAAACUUAGGAUGAUCGGCAGCUGGUUUGGACUUUGGAGAUAGCUCACAGCCUCAGACCAGCGCGUCGUAAAGCGAUGUCCAUGGCGAUGCAGACUGCUGAGCCCCUGAACGGUUCAUCUGCCUGCUCCCUAAGCCGAGGCAGCCAGAGCAGUUGGUCGACGCUGGAGCAGCACAGCAGGAAAACUUAGGUGAUACAUGGCGCAGACCAGGUUAAUCCGGGGCAGCGUGCGCCGCUCCUGUGGAAGCGGAACCCGCGGCCAGCGCUACCGGAGCCGCCGAGCUUGUGUUCUCCUGGGCCGCCGCCGGCAUGCCGUGCGAGGUACAGUUCCUGCAGCUUGCUUUCUUUGUUCAAGGUAUCUUUAGCUCUCAAACUAAAGUGGUCGACCUCGACCCAAGCAUGACAAGGAAAGAAAAUUGGGAAGGAGUGGGUAGUCUGAUGAUCCUAGCAUGGAUAACACAAAACAUUCCAGGUAUCCAACAAUUUCAACAUUCCAACAACCAGUGCCUUUGUUUUCUUCCCGCGUCCUCAGUUCCAGACGAAAAAGAAAGGGAAAAAGGGGAUUUCACUUCUCUUCUUCCUCCUUCACCGCUUCCGACCACACGCCAAAUCCUUCAACAGCAACAAAAACUUGAAUUGAGCAACACUUCUGACACCAUGCCUGAGGGACUCUUGCAAGGUACUGCAAAUUCAAAAAGAAAAGAAAAAUAUCUUAGGUUUGAAUCAUGUGAACAGGUAAUCAACUUUGGAGAGAUGGGUAGAACAAUUACUUGCAAUCUGGUUUGAGCAGCAGAACCCUUUUACUGGCACUGGUGACCUGGUUACUUGCCAUCUGAUCUAAUGCUAGCAUGAUCUUUAACAGACUAAACUGACUGGUAUAAUAUUUAACACAGAAGAAUAUAUAUCGGAAUAAGACAUAGUUCUUAGUCAGAAUCUACUGGAAGGGAUUUGCUGUUUGUCAUCAGCAUCUCAUGGGGCAUCCCUGUACAGGAAAACAUCCGGAACAGAGGCUGGAUCGAGCUCAUAGAAGCCACGGAGCUUGCCACCACUUUCUUCUGUCAGACGGAACGAGGGGACUCGGUGAGAGAACUUCUGAUUGUCCCUGGAAGGUAUCUCCAGAGCUACCUUUCUCUUGUCAAGCUUGAACACCGCUCUGUAACCAUCAACUUGAGCCAGCAAAGAAACUUUUGUGCUAGCUUCAGUGCGUUCAAUGAUCUCACCCAUAGCAAAUUCACAAGCAUCAAUGCUGGAGGGAGUCCAGUCAGGUGUCCAGUUCAUGUAGAUGGCCCAAAUCUCGCCUACUUGAGGAAGAAUUCGAAUCUGCUGAUUUGACUCAAUAGGUCCGGCGUAUACUAAAUGAGAGAAAGUAUCAUUAGUUUCAUACUUAGUUUCCCAGUUUCGAAUUUUAAAGUUACCAGAGCUGAGAGGUAUAUCCUGCUUCAACCACUGUUUCUCCUGCUUCAGUUGAGGGCAAGCUUCGAGCCAGGUCAAGUGCACUUCAAAAGGUUCUAGCUCGACUUUACUUAUCCAGCCAUAGAACUUGGGGAAGUAAUCAAGAUCACUGUAUAAAGCCCAGAUUUGUCCACACUGAAAGUUCUCACAUGAGCGGAAUUCUUCAAAGUUAUGGAAUUCAGAAUCAGGGUAGGUAUAAAUUCUUGGGGAGGGACAAUUUUGUGUAGAGGAAGCACCUAAACCAUUACAACCAUGGGCAGUUUUCGGCAAGGAUGUGUUCUGCUCAGAAAAAAUAUCUUCAUCUUUACCUAUUGCACCGUCACCACAAAAAUCAGUGAAUGUGAUAUCAUCUUUAUUGCAGGGAGACAUGAAUGAUUCGAGAGUUACGGAAGGAAAUGCUGCAUCCAGGUCGACUGGGAGACAUGCAGUGUCGAGUUCUAGGAACCCUCCUGGGACACCAGUUUUCUCAUUCCCAUUUGUCCUAUAAAAGGGGAUGCUGUGAGAGAAACGAAGUAGCUCACUUGAUGCUAUCACGAUUUCAGAUUUGUCCUUAGCUGUCGCAAAUAGACUGACAAAGCCUUUAAUCCUGACCAAUGGGACAACAGAAACGCCAGCACUAACCGAGACAUUUGACAGGACUUCAACCACUUCAUAUUCAUAGGACCUAUGGUUAUCUGCAUCUGAUCCCCACUGCAAGCUCCAUCCCUUAUAAAGAGCCCAUACCUCACCCUUACUAGGAUGUAUUUCAUAGUUCCUUUUUUUGCAUUUUGCCCCUGAAACAAUAUGCGAAAACAUGGGCCUGUCUUGUGAUAUAUCUGCUGUUCCCAAGCGAAAGCUUCCACAAGCAACAGGCAUUUCUUCAUCAGUCCAUUUCUUCUCUGCUUCAUUCGCUUCAAUGUACUCCAGCCAAGUGAGAUGAACAUUGAAGUUGGAGGCGUCAAAACGUUUUAUUCUAGCAUAAUAUCUUGGCAUGCCGUCAAGGUUAUCAUAAAUGGCCCAGAUCUGACCAACUGCAAACAUAUUGACAUCCCUUAACUUCUCAAAAUCAAAGAAAUCUGUAUCUGGGAGAGAAAGCUUCACAGAAUAGCUUUGUUCAUUCUGACCAACAGUAUCUGUAGCUUCUGCGUUGAUAUUGUCCUGAUCACCCAUAUCUCUAGUUUUAGCUUUCUCUUGGAUGUCUAUUUUGCUGGACACAUGAGGUGGAACUGAUUGCCUGUCAGCGUUAGUGACAUUAUCAUCCAACAUGUUCUUGCAGUUCAAGUCACUAGAUUGCAAAUCAUUUAUCCUUUGCUUCUUUUUGCUAUUAGAGUCCAGGUUACUGCUCCCAGCAGCAUCUUGCUUUCUCCUAGCCGAUCUCCGGAGACUGGAGGAUCCUGCACCAUCUGACACUGUAGAUAUAUCUUCUUUCCACAAGUUAUUUCUGUCAACAUUUGGAUCAGCAGGAUUUGGCAUCCAUCUUCCAUCUGUGUUAAUGUUUGUCGUUUGGGCAGAAGAUUUAGCUUGAUUCAUCGUUGGAAUUUCAACUUUCCUGCUUGUAAUGUCUGACUGGUUGGCUUCCUUGUCACCACCUGUGCUGCCAUUCCCUUUUAUAUCACACCGUGCCACAUUUAUCUUUACUUUCGUAUAUGUGUUUACACCUGUAGAGGAGAGCUUCACAGGACCAGGGACCUUCUUAGCAUUUGGAGCUGCAGAUGCCUCUUCUGUACCCGACUUCUGUAUGCCAAUGAUGUCUGGAUCAGCAGGAAUUGGUAUUGACCUUUCACCCACAUGCGCAUUUACAGUCGGUACAGAAGAUUUAUCUUGAUUCAUUGCUGAAAAUUGAUUUCCCACCCUUGUUCCUGACUGAGACUGAUUAGCUUUCUCAUCCAUGCUUGACCUGCUAUACCCUUUCAUGUAUUCAUCACAAUGGGCCACGUUCAUCCUUGGCUUCACAUAUGUGGUUCCCCGUACAGAAGAAAGCUUCACAGGGUGGCCUUGUUGACUUGGAAACAUCUUUGCUGGAACUUGAAAACUACUGGGAACACUUGAUGAAGUUGGCACAUACUGUUCCUUUAAGUUGUAUGCAAAGUAAUUUUUUCGACAGCUCAAACAGCACAUCACAGUGUUUAGGACAUAGAUGGGGUACUGAUAUUGUGUCUCACAGUGGGGGCAUAUAGUCCAAAAAGAUGCUACAUAUCCAGGCACAUCAGAUUUACUUGUGUCACUCUUCUUUUGUUGCUGUGUAGCUUGUUUUCGUACUUUUCUCAAAGCAUUAAGCCUUCUGAUGUCAUAAUGAGAUCGCUUUGUUUGAUCAAACAAUACAGUAUAAGCUUCAGAGACCAACUUGAAAGCAGCUUCAGCACCACUAAAACAAUUUUUAUCCGGAUGGACUGACUUUGCAAGCCUGUGGUAUUGCUUUUUUAUGUGAUCAGGAUCUGCUGUUGGCUCCACCUGAAGGAUUGCAUACCAGUCCGUCUCUCCAUUCACCCUUGCCUCUGCUGCACAAUGUACAUUGCAUAUGUUUAACAGUUUAGAUAUGUCUUCAAGCUCUGGAAAAAGCAUUUGAGCUUGAAGUGCAAUCUUUUGGGCACCAAUGAAAUCUUCAUUUUCCAUCUGUUUUAGAGCAAUUUCCCUGGCCCUGAAGGCCUCUUCUCUGUUGCACUCCAUCAUAAUCUCUGCCAAAAGAAAAACCACAAGAGCCCUGAUGUGAAGUGCUAUCAACUGGAAAUCAGUAUCCGCUGACUCAAGCGUUACAGCAGAUAAUGGACGGACAUAUCUGGAUCAAUUCUCAAACAACAAUAUGGCAGUGAACUUUGACUGCAUCAAAACCUGAAAAAUUAAGAAGGAAUGAUUCUUAAUUACUAAAAAUAUAGCACCUGAAACACAUAAAAUUGUGGAUUCCAUAAUAAGUCAAGAACACUGAAAUGUAAAACCUAGUGCAUGAGGCUUCCAUAUAUGGUAUAAUUAUUUUAAAUAACAUGCUUUGUGACACGUCCAACGAGGCAACAACCAACAACGUGCAAAUAGAAAGGUAAUACAAGCAAAGCAAGACAUGCCGAUAUGGAGGCAAUACUGCCAAAGCAAGACAUGCCAAUACGAAGGCAAUGCUGCCAAAGCAAGACACAUGAAUAGGAUUGACAAAAAAUUGAAAUUACAUGUCAGGUUGAUAGCAUUCACAUCAGUAACGUAGAGUGAAUCGUUAUUCUUAAUCAUCUAUGUAUUCAACAUUCUUGAUUAGGCUGUUUGUGCCAAUGAUCAAGAAAUCGGCCGACUCAGCGAUUAAUCGCUGAUGGGGAGGGCAACGUGCAGAUUAAUGCGAAUCGUCAGAGGAAAUCGAGCAGACUGAUUUAUCGGUCUGACAACCGAUUAAUCGGGAACGAUUCCUGAUUAAUCGCAUCAGGACCGAUUAAACUUCUAUCCCAAAUUACAACAAAUUGACUCACCCCGUUGCCAAAUUCUCCCCGCCUCUGGACCCAUCCCUCCUCCACCACCCCACCCCCCCCCCCCCACCCCCGCACCUCGUUGUAGCCCCAAUUCACCCGGCCACUGCAUCUGCUGCCCCCCCACCCCCCCGCUCUUCCUCCUCCAUGACACUGCUACUCUGCUCCCCCUCAGCCCCUCCUACUCCCAAGCUUGUCAUCGACCAACCGGGUCUCGGCUGCCAUCCCCAGCCUCCUCCGCUGCUAGACCCAGCUGCCUCUGCCGCCACCCCUGCUCGAGGAGAAGCUCCAGUGGCUGCAGGUAUGGCCUGCACCCUCUUCCUCUCAUUCUCUGCUGAUGUGGCUGCUGCUGCUGAUACUAUAUAGCACAAUGGCCGACAGAUUAAACCGACUAAUCGGUCCGAAAUCGGUCCGAAUCCGAUUAAUCGCUAAUCCCUACCCGACCGAGCUGUUACCGAUUACAUAUAUCCCAAACAUUGCUUUGUGCAGUAAUUUAGUUUGCUUGCUGUCACCAAAAAAAUGGUACUGUAUGUACCAGACCAGUAGCAGCAUGUCAACAUACAACAAAUUCAAGUAUAGUUUGUAUCGCCAUUCACCUAUGAUUUACUGACAGAAAAAUGGCUGCAACAGAGGGCCUAAGGUACAGGUGAUGACUCGGGAGUCAGGAGAGGAAGACGAAAGGAAGGAACCAGUACGACAAUGACAGAGAGAAAACCGUGGAGGUUGGAUUUUGACUCUGAAUGGAGAGCAGAUUUGAUUAAUAAAAAGAAAACAAACCACUCCACUACUAAAUCUAAUUAGUUUUGUCUUUUGGAGUCUGUAGUUUUUAUUUGAAAGAAAACUGUUAGAAUUUAUAAUUGAUACUGGUGUGGAUAUACAUAAAAUAUGUUUGGUCCAAGUUCACAAUCUCCUUGUCACAUCUUUCGUCAACUUGAUCUAGCACUAUAGGGUAAUCGAUAUGUCGAUAAUUCAUAGUGAUAGCAAAGGAGGAGAGAUGCGGUGCAGAGAGGAGUCGAAGGCAGCAGGGCAUCCCAGACACUGAGACACCCCAAUCCUUGAAGUGACACACGAAAAGACCCAACUGAUAGCUCAAAUCACUCCUACCAUUAAUCUGAUGGCCAAAAACGUGUUGUGUGGGACGAACUGAGAGGAGUUAAAACAGGGAGGGAUAGAUGUUGGAGGUAGGUUGGAGGAGAUACAAACACAUACUAAAGCAAGCAGAUGAAAUUAGAUAUAUGCAGGGCAAAUCGAACAUGCAUUCUCAUCAUUACUGAAAUGAGAACUUUCAACAUGACCAAAAUACAGACACAAACACACAUUAAUGCAAGCACAUGGAACUAAAUAUCUGCGAGCAAAUCGAAUCGUUACUCCAUCGCAUAUCUCGGUAAAAAACACAUAACCCUAUGUUUUUCUUCAUCAUCAUCAAUGCAUCAAUCUCCUUCGUCAUCAUCUCAGAUUAGAACAACUUGUGAACAAGGGUGGACAUCCACGGGCGGAAGUAAAAGAAUUGUGCAACUACUCCAAUAGAAAGUAAAAUAAUCACAAGACUAGAAGAGCAUUCAAAGAAUCGGCAGCCUGUACUCCGCCACAGCGGUACAAGGGUGGACAUCCACGGGCGGAGGACCCGGUAGGGCAAGGGAGGGCGGCCGCCCUACCUUGAUGUUUGCCUCGGUUACGAACUGGGGGAGAUUAAGGAGAUGAAACGGGGGGCUAAACGGCGUCAUCCACUCGUGGCUCGGAGAAUAUAAGGAGAGAUCAACCUGGUGGCGGCGCUCGCGCGAGGAGGAAGACGAGCGACGGAGCGAGGGGGCUGGGGCGCAAGCAGCCGCGCGGCCAGGGCGUAACCAGAAAUGGUGGAGAGGUGAGUGGGGUUUUCUAAUCGCGAUGAAAAAAACCUCGUACCUCAAAACCCCAAUGGCCUUGGAAUGAUGGAGACACCAGGAACGCGAUUUCCCGACGAGGACGAACGAGAAUGGCGACGGAGGCGACGCGCGUUGGGGAUCGACGCGUCGGCGGUGAAGGUAGGGCACGGCGGCGACGGCUGAGAGCACGGUGUUUUUCUUUUUUCUUUUUUUUUAAGACCUAGCGCGGUGGUAGUCGGGUAGAUAGCGAGAGGGUCAAAAUAGUCAAAAUAUGAACAGCCAAGCCACACGUUUACCUUGCUGUCUCUCUACUGGCAAAAAAAAUAUUUUUUUCCGCCUUUUUUUUUCUUUUUUUUGCGACGAUAAAUUCUUCUCACCGUGUAUACUGUACGUCUGACCAACUUCUCGGUAGCCCUAAAAAAAUGUUUGGACAAUCUGAUAAUUGUGUGUGAAUUAUACAAAAUUGAUGUUAGAGGGUCUUCCCCUACUUACUAAGUCAGAGCCCUGGAGAAACAUUGAAAUAAAAUUCAAAACUACCCAUAGCUUUUAUUUUAGGUUUCCGAAGAUGACAGAAAAAUGAUAGAUUUAAUAGUUAACAAUUUUUACUAUAAAAUUGGAAUAUAAGAGGUUUGUCGUGUUUUUACCUGUUGCUCGCGUUGAAAUAAGAAGUCAAUUAUUUAUUUAUAUUUAGCAAGGACCAAUAUUUAAUGGGUAACUUGGUAGAGUUGGAAAAAGCUAAGAAUAGAUCCAUACGAGCAUAGCCAACAACGCCAGUUUAGCCUCUUCGUUCAUUCCUUUAAUCAACUGAAGCGAUGAAUCAAUAGAGGCCUACAUGGCGAUUGCAUUGACACAUUCCUACUUCUUAGAAAGAGUUGCUGCUUGGAGGUUUCUGGUAAUUUGAAAUCUUCUGCUUAUAACCUAUCACCAAAGGAAAUACAUGGUUAUUUUUCAUGACCCUACGGUAUAAAUACCCCAAAGGGGUGUGUAAUUCAUUCGUCCCAUUUUAAUAGAAAAGAAGGGCUCCUUUCGAAGAGCCUGUAGAGUUUUACGAAUGAAUCCUCCAAAGAGCCCACCAAAUUUCGAAGAGUCAACCAUCACCAAAAAAGCCGCACCGAAUUUUGAGGAGUCAUAGGGUUCCGCACUCUCCUAACCUCAACAAAGCGACCAGACAUUUUUAAAAAACAUCGGCAUACCUGUUUACGUACGAUGCCCUUCUCUAAUAAAGGUGGCAUACACCCCCAACUAAAGACUUAUAUAUACCUUAGUCAAUCAACAGCCCCUACUAUCGCUCGACGACAACAUGAUAAUAUCAUGAUGAAUGUGCAUAUGGAAAUUAAAGUUGACAUGGAGAUUUAAACAUGUCCCUCACUACAUGUUCCCAUCAACGAAACCAGCAAUAAAAUUCCCAUUUUAGCCAAAACCGCUUUCGAAAUAAAUGAUGGUUUUAAGCAACACAUUUAUGCAAAGAAACAUUUGGUUGUGAGCAUGUAGCCUCUGCAAUUUUUGUUGUUGGAAGAUUUAGCCUCUGCAUUUAGCAUUUUUCUAGGAUGUUACCCGGGGGUGCAGCUUAGUGCUUUUACGUACUCAUGGAUCAUAUGUUUUGUGUUGUUGAUUCAGAGAUAUAUAGAAAGGAUUAAAGAAGGAAUUCUGAAGAUGACUUUGAUGAGAUCAAGUAGGAGGGUUUCAGGUUUGUGGUGAACUCUGUUGACUGCAUGGGGGUUAAGAUGGAGCCGUUACGAUGGACGCCUGCUCUGUAUGUUUGCUCUUUUCAAUAAAGGCUUGAUGUAUAUAUUGGUCAAGUGACCAAAGUACUCUCUUGCAAGGCAGAUAAUAAGCUUUCUUUCUAUAAAUCUAGCAUGUUGUUUCUAUGGUAAGUGUUCAUGAGUAUGAUCCUUGAUUCGCACAGCAGAAUUCAGAUUUUUUUUUCUUUUUUUAGCGAACAACAGAAUCAGAUUUAUUUAUUUAUUUUUUAGGGGAACAACAGAAUUCAGAUAGUAGCAAUAUUCGGGUGAUGUGUUUUAGGGAGGGAGUAUUAAAAAGGCGUGGAGCAGCCGGAGAGGUAGGAUCUGGACAUGGGCCUGGUGAUGCGAAAGCAGAAUGUGAAGAUGGGCAGGUCUAAGCAGAGAUCGGGCCUGUAACGCACGCCAAGGCCUCACUACAUAUACUGAGCCCGAUGCAGGCCGCCGGGUCACCGAGAGCAGGGCAGACACAGAUCGAUCUAUUCUUCCCCUCCAAACAAGAAACAGAUUGAUCUUGAGUCCUGACCAUGGCGAUAGGGAUGGAAGCGCGUUACAGCGACGAGGAGAUCAGGGCCAUGGUACACCGCGGCAUAGUCGACCCGGACGAGGAGGAUGAGUCCCUGAAGGCCCAGCAGCGGGCGGUGCGGAGAACGCUGCAGGCCCCGACGGCGUUCCCCACGAUCGCGCAGCUGGUCUGGGUUGACUACGUCGAGGGCACCGCCGUCGUGCUCGCCGACGACAUGGCGGGGAACGGAGACAAUCUCAGGAACGGCGCUCGCGUGUUCGCCGGGAGGAGGCUCGGCGCCUGCUGCGAGGAGGAGGCGGCGCUGGUGGCCAAGCUGCGGCGGCAGGCCGCGAGGUGCGAGGAGCGGCGCGCGCAGGCGCAGGCCCUGGCGGCGGACGCGCGGCGGCUGCGGGACAAGUACCUGAGGGCGGCCUCGGGGAUCUCGGUGGGGAACAAGGACGGCGGCGAGGCCCUCCGCGCGGCGACGGCGGAGUUCCGGGAGCACGUGGCCAGGGAGAUGGAGGACGACGGGGUGUCCGUGGCUGAUAUGGCGAGGCCGGAGGCGAUAGACGCGGCGGCGAGGGCCGGGCAGGGCAUCGGCCAGCGGUUCGUGGAGGAGGUCCUGUCGGGGCUGUCGCAGAGGCUCAGGCGGCACGCGCUGGAUUACGGUGCCCGGGACAAGGCGCUCAAGGAGGCUCUCUGCCGGCGCGCCGCGGAGAUGGAGGAGAUGUGCGCGGAUCCGGAGAAGCUCGUGGAGAGGAUGCUGGCGUCGAGCGUCUGGAGGUAUAUGAUCAGGCAGGCCUGACCUCAAUCGUCCAUGGCUGCCGACGCCAAAGCCUCCUAUGUGAUGAUUAAAAUUGUUCACUUCAUAUUCGUUCGUUUGUUUGUUUACUUCACGAAUCACGCCAAAAUCGAUGUCACAGGGUCUUCCUCUGCUUACUAAUAUCCGUAGGAUCCAAUUUCUUUUGGGUAUCUGAAGAUGGAAGACAAAUGAUAGAUUUAGCGGUUACUCCUUUAAUUCUAAAUUCUUGUAUAAAAAACGUCUAAAUACAUGUAAUAUUUCGUCAACAAUUUAGUACUCCAGCUAUCUUACCACAAAAUGGCAAUAUAUAAGAAACAUCGGUAGUCGUUUCUCUUCCCGGUUGGCGGCGCCCCUUGGCUCCGCACGACGUGACCGUCCAGGGCCAGGCGCUUCGCCGAUGACGUGCACACGCUCGUCUCUGAUGCCUCCUCACCGGCAGCUCCUCCCCCGGCCGCGACGGUAACCUCGCUGCCACCGUGGCCACCGACAUCGGCCAAUCCCGUCGUACUUGCCGCUGCUUCCGCAGACUCCACCCUGUAAGUCGAUGCUGCCGCCCAAUGCAAAAUGCAUGAAUCGAUGGACUCUGUAUGCUCGUGUUUUCCCUUGUCUUGGGAUUAAAUUUUUUGAUGCGAUCACAUAUGGCGUAGUUAAUUGCAUCAGCCAUGAGAAAUAUCAUGUUGGAUCAAGUUGACUUGCAACUGUUCGAUGGAAUGCUCGUGAGAAUGUUUUUUUUUUUUGGUAUACUGCAGAUUUGUUCUUUACUUACUUCUCUGCAAGCUUGAAACACUGACCAAUUUUACAAGAUUUUAUUGUCUGGUCUGAAGACGUAUUCGAUGGAAUGGUUGGUGUGCUUGCUGACCCCAAGGAAGUAUAUCCAACAUCAUUUAUGUUUGUGAUAUACAGCUACUUUCCUUUUUUCCUUUCUUUUCGUAUUUGGUUUGUUCGAUAAAAGGCUCCUGCUGGAAUUCAAGAGGUUCAUUUUCUGCUGUUCAAUCCAACUGAACAAAGCUAAUGCAGAUUUUCAUAAGGUGCAGACUUUCAGUAAUGCAGAAAAUGUCUAUUGUUUCGGUAGUGUAGAAAGUAGUUGUUGUUGAGUUCAAACUAUAAAAAAUUGUAACUACAAACACAUGGCCGGAACAUGUGUGUAAUAUAUGGCCUUCUAGUUCAAAUCAUGGCCGGAACAUGACAAACUCAGCUGUAAUAUAUGUGCGUUUUGUGCAAUAUUGUAAGGACCUAUGUUCAGUUCCUCUGAUAUUCAACCUGCAAUGCAUAGGUGGCCUUCUAGUUAUCAUGGUGGUGGUAAUGGUGUACUAAAGUCUAAAGCUGACAAGAUUUGUGACCUGAAAACUUAUGCAAUCUUAGUUGUUGCAUAAUUCAAUCUGGUAAGUUAGGAGAAAUCGGAUUGUUGUGCCCAUGAAUGUUAUCAGUUUGAUUUUGCUGUUGUGGCUGACCAUUAUUUUUAACUAAUCUGUUUCAAGAACAUGCUGGUGCUAUUGUCAAGAAGAGUUGUUUAUAAAUAGCAUGUAAGGUAGUACUUCUGUUGACAGGGGUUGCUCCGAUUUUGUUUCAAGGUCAGCGCUGGUGACGCGAGAGGGGGCGAGGUGGUCCAAGCUCGAUGGCGUGAAGGGCGGGAAUGAUGCUGGAUUUGGAAGAACAAUGGUGGAUGCUGAGGUCGACGCAGACGCCGGCCCACAACUCGCGUCGUUGGGCUAAUCGGCGACCUCGGCGCCCAGUCCGCCGCUCAGCCCAGUCCUACCUCGUCGGCCGGCUCCUCCCCACUGUUGUGAUAUUCCCCUCGCCAGCAGCUCGUGUGGAAUUAGCUGCCACAGUGUGGCGAUCGCCGGUAAACCAGGUGCGUCAUAAGUUUUUGAUUGCGUACAUAUAUAGUUUGUGUGUUGAUUUAUUGCUAAUUGAAUAAUUGUUUUCGUAUUUGGAACUACGAUUAAUCUUGUGUUCCAAAAUUACAAUCUGUACUAAUCUAUUUGGAAAAAUUGGACUUUGACUUUUUUCUUUGUGGAUGCGUGUGUCAAAACUGACAGCUCAGAGCUGAGACUACUCUAUUCUUGAAAUUAAGAGAGCUACAGAGACAUAAACUUCCACUGAUUUUACUUGUGAGCAUGUUGUAAGGUAUGCUAUGCUAACUCUUGUUUAACGUUGACGAAAUUCUGAGGAUAAUAAAACUUGAAGUUAAUUUUGUUUCGGUGAGAACUUGUUUACUUGUAUUCCAAACGCUGCAGGUUAGGAGGUUGGACAAAAGUACUUUGUGUAUGGUUCAAGAUUCAAAGCCCACUGGACUAUCAGAUGUGAGUUUGACUAAAUAUAUAUUUUAGCCUUUGACUCUUUGUUUGAUGAAACGAGACAUGCUUAGAGUCUAAGAUAUGAUUGCCGUUAAUGAUGAUGAUAUAAUCCGAAACCUAAUGUCUUGUUGUUUCGACAAGUCUCGUGACAGAUACUCAAGCAAGAAUGUGCAAAUACUAACUUAUAGGUGCGGCAUUUCUCAAUUAUAUUGAUGUAGUUUUAAAAAAUAUCUUGCAAACACAGAGUUGGGUAACAUUGUGUUAUGCUAUCAUUUGCAGGAUAUUGGGCAAUUUUGCAGGCAGUCAUUGUUUCAAAUGGAGAGAAGUGUUGCCGAAGGAGGAAUGAUGAGUCUGAAAGGGCUUGCAUAGUUACAAUCAUGUGUAUACCUUUUGUCUUCUGUUGUUGUAGUGCUUGAGCAGUUACGUGAGGCAUGCGUUUUACUUGUACUCGUUGCUGCUGUGAAAAAAAUAUUGUCUCACUCCAUUAUGCUCCCGGAUUGCUCAAUUUGACCUCUAUAGUGAUGCUUGAAUUUUUUUGUUUGCCACUCUAUUUUGUUAAUCAAGCCAGUUCUUUCGCUCAAGGCAGUACACACUGCCUAGUAUGAGGCUAGUUAGUAUAAAAGGGGCAGUGCAUGCAAGUAUAAUCUUGUUGUGUCACAUGAGAAUCUGCACCGGCAAAAUAAUUUUACACAGCAAGCACUAGAGCCUUCUGAACCACUCGAUCGACCCUAACUUUCUUACGUCUCGUGCAAGCACAGGCGGGCGCUCGUUUCAAAGCCGGUAGCCUGGACGUAAAUUUCUUACGCUGCAUGCCGAAAAACUGAACGGGACGUGCGCUCGUGCUUUCAUACUACUGGAAUAACCCAACGUAAUCUGGUUACGUCGCAUGCAGAAGACUUGGUGCGGGGCGGGGGUCGCUCGGUGCUAAUUUUAAUGCCGGAAGCCCCAACGUAAAUUGGUUAUGUUGCAUGCAGAGAAGCCAGGCGGGCCUGGACGGAAGUGCACGCGGGGGGUGGGGGUGGGUGCAGAAUAAUAUUCUACUCCCUGUGGUAUAUAUAUAUAAACGAAGUAUUAGAAGAUACCUCAAAAAUAUGGAAAGAAGAAUUAAAAGAAGAAAUUUUAAAAGAAUUACGACUUGAAUUCAUGCAAAAAUUUGAAGAAAUGAAGAAAGAAUAUGAUUUAAAAAUUGAACUAAAUCUUUCAAAAUUUGAUUUUAAUCUUUCAGAAGAUGAUCACAUGGAUAUUGCAGGCCAUGGGCAGAAAUCAGAAUUUUAAUUGAUAUUACUAUCAAUUAUUCGGGCGGGGAGGACAUAUACACCACCUCCGAACAUAUACACCUAUACCCGGAUAGUUGAUAGAAUAUAAUUUGAAUAUGAUUGAAAACUGAAAAAAAAUAGUAAAUAAUAAUUAAAAAUAAUGAAAAAUAUUAAAUCUUAAGAACCAUCGUUAGCAUGUAUUAGGCAUAUAAGACCCAUCAUCAGCAUACAAGAUCACAAAUGCAUGAGAUCCUAUGAUUUAUGGUGUGCAGACGAAGAAUAGCCAAGGAAGCAGACAAUAAGGCUGCAGUGUGUCGUAAACACUAUCAUUAAAACGCAAGACUACUCCCAAGAUGAAGGAAGCCAUGUUCGUAUGCAACCAAAGAGUGAAGUGGCAGCCAAAAGACCCCUUAUCACCAUGCAUGCAUGCAUCCAAAGGCUAUAAAAGAAGCCUAGGACCUAUAAAGGAGGUGCAUCAUGGACAUGGAGAAAGGUGAGGUAAAUAAUGCAUGAGAUCACUAUUUGAACCAGCCAUGGUGCCUAUAUAAGAAGGCUCUUUGCAGCAUUGGAGGACACACAACCAUCGAGCACAACACAAGUCUUCAGAGCAGCAAGUAGUUCAGGGCAGCUAACCAGAAAACUAUCUGCUCUCUAGUAGUAGUAGUACCACUUCCCACUGUAAUAAAGCCCGUGUAAUCAAGGCAUUUGUAACAUAAGACUGGGAAGGUAGUAUGGUAAUUUUUUUAUCUUUGUGUGAACCCUUCGGGGGUUCCCGAAAGGGAAAACCGUAUGUAAGCUAUAUUGUGAAAUGAAAUAGUUUAGUUUUUCCCUCGGUCUUUUUAGCAUGUUUAUACGGGUGGGUGCUUAUGCUAGGGAUCCUAUAGGAGAAACCUUUGCGUGUAGUUCUCUGUUAAGCCGUGUGUAUGGCGUUGAAAUGAGAACCUUGUAACCAUAGAGAAGUGUUCCCUUCGGGUGGAAUUGCCUGGGAAGACGAUAAGAAAUCACCCAUAUAAACCUGACUAAAGACGCUUAGGGAAAUAAACUUAGCUACUCCUGAAGCAAAAUAGUAAUAAAUACGGUGAGUACUGAGUAGGAUUAUUGCAUCACUGCGAAAACUGUCGGUAUUUCCGUUGGCCUCACCAGCCUCUUAAGAUCCUGCAAAAGAUAAUCAUAAUAUUAAAAUAUUUAAUUUACCAUAUAACCUAAUAUUAGCCUAAAUAAUCUGAAUAUUAAUGUAGCUAAUAUUUAUUAAUAUUGCAUAUUUGUGGUAUCAUAUAUCUAUAUAUGUAUAUACACACACAUAUAUAUAUAUCUAUGUAAGUUCAUAUGUAAAGUUUCGUACUUAUAAAAAUGCUAUGACGUGCGAUUUCAGGAAGACUACGACCACAUAGCAAAUGAACAAGAAGUCAUCACGAAUGAUUCUAAAAAUAUGGGAGAAAAGGUAAGAAAAAUUCAAAGACUUGUAUCCUGCCAACAUGGUAAUGAUAUAUAUGCCUGUAACUUCAUGUGUAAGGUUUUGUACUUAUAAAAAGUUCUAUUACGUGCGAUUUCAGGAAGACCACGACCACAUAGCAAAUGAACAAGAAGAAGUCAUCACGACUGAUUCUGAAAAUAUACAAGCAAAGGUAAAUAUAUUAUUCCAAGACUUAUAUUCUCUUUUAAAAAGAAUAUAAUUAUAAUCCUACAAUCUCUUUUAUAUAUGUGGGAUUCAGUUACACACCCAGGAAGAAUCACGUGCAAUAGCGAUUGAGGAACUGGAAUAUUUCGAGCCGAUGAAUGUGAGUUUUCUUUUUAUUACAUAAAUUCGAAUUCUAAUUCUAAUUAUAUCCUGCAUGAAGUUUAACUAUUAUUUUUCUUAUUCGCAGAAACUAGCAGACAACCAAACAUCUCAAGAAGUCCAGCAGGAAUGUACAGAGGAAGAAACUAUGAAGGACAUCCUGACAAUGCCCAUGCAGAUGGAGAAACCUAUGGGACGGCAUAACAAACCCAAGAAGUCAACAGAUUAUGUGGUGACUCCAGAAGGCAUGUCAUUAACCAUUUUUAUGUCAUUAAUUUUGCUACAUUAUUUAUUUCUUCAUUACUAACUUGAUGUCUUCUAUCGUUUCAGAUUAUAGAUGCACCAUCGAUCAUUUUUUUGUGAUUGAAUGUAUCCAAUCGGAGCCAAGUGUCAAAAAAAAAAUUAGUGUCCCUCGGUGACACAUCACUGACCAAGGACGAUUUAAUACGUCUUCUAAACCCCCGGGAAUAUGCUGGCGACGAAGUAAGUAUAUAUAUUCAUGAAAAAUCUUAUUUGAAUUUGAAUAUAUUGUCUCAUACUAAUAACCACUGAGUAUACAUGAAACCGUAGGUCGUAAAUGCAUACAUCUAUUGCAUAAGUGGCGAAGAAGCUCUGCAGGUCAGGUUAGGUGGAAGUAUGUUCUUCGAGACUUCAUUGGUCUCUAAGCUGAUACAGGAUUGUGCAAAUAAGCCCAAAGAUGAAAUACCAGAAUGGAUUGUAGAGAGGGUGAAAAAGUAUCUGGAACAUGACAUGGUUAGUCCGAGUUUCCUACAUAUUAUAAUCAAUCUUAACGAGGGUGUGUGUGUUCGUGUAUAAAAACAACGAUAAACUUUCUCCGUAGGUAUUCUUUCCAAUCAACAUGACUCAUUUUCAUUGGUAUCUAACGGUUAUACACACCGGGAAACGAUGUGUUCAAGUAUUGGACUCUCUAGGUGUGGGAAUUCAUCGCGGGGACCUCGCUUCUUAUGUGAGUAAUCAAUUCUACUGCCCCAUCUUUUUAUAAGAUUUUGUGUUAUUGCUUUUUUUUCUUAUAAUGCUACUACUUUGUCAUCUAUUAAUAUAACAGCUGGUAGCAGUGGAUUUAUUUUUCUUCUGAUGUUAAUACUUGGUCAUUUGUUAAUAUAUAACAGUUGGUAGCAGUGGAAAAAUUAUUCAAAAUUGCAUCACAGCAAAAUGAAUUAAAUUCUGACAAGUGGAAGGACCUAAACGUUACAUCGUGGUCAAGGGAAGAAUGUAUUAAGAGUACUAUGCAGACAGAUGGGUACGCCUCCUAAUUCGACGAACUCAACAUUUGGGUGGUGAUUUUUUUAUGCAUGGUUUAUUAAUUGACGUAGAUGGAACAUUAUAUCCCACACGAUCUCUCUAAUGAUAGUUUAAUAACUUAUCAAUAUUUGUUUAUAUUGUAUUGACACCUCAUUCUAAUGAUACUUUAGUACCUUAUGAAUAUAUUUGUAAAAUGUCUUAUCGAAAUCCUAUCGAAAUCCUACAAUUACGUAGGUCGUCUUGUGGUUUGUGGAUGUUAAACUCCAUGGAGUACUGGACGGGAGAUAUUUUGUCCGACAUUCCUAAUCAGGUACAUUUCGUUGAGUACAUGUCAUAUAUUAUUAUAUUUUGAAAACUAACCGUGAUUACUGCUUGCUAGGAUAAUAUAACACAAUUUAGGACAAAAUUAGCUGUCAUUUUAGUCGACUCGGAAUUGAACGAUGAUAAUGUAGAAACCAAGACGACUUCGAACUUGAUGAAAGGAAUACCGAUCCAGAUGAUUGUGUCAUCUUGGAAAGUCCUGCUAAGAGAGCCAAAACAUCAGACCCCUCAUCACAAUUUGACUUUCUAUCGGACUUCUUCCCUGAAUCACCUAUUAUCAAUCCAACAAACGAUGACCUCAUAGAAUUACUUUGCUUGCAACUGGAGAUAAUUGAUCCCCGUUUAUUCGGGUAAGCCACCUUUUCUAGCAAGUUCAUUUUUUUGUGUUCAAAUAAACUAUUAUUUGUUCCAUCGUGCUUGACAAAAUUUGCUCUUCCACAGGAUCGAAUGGGUCAGGAUCUCUAAGCCUUAUCCAAUUAGUUUAACUCUAAGACAAAUAAGGAACAUAUUGUUCACGGAUUAUGUGGACCCAGAUUGCUUCAAUGUGGCUGUGCGUGUACUAGCGAGCCACCCAUCAAACUUAUGUAGAGAUCAGCUGGUUCACUUAAUGGAUCUGAAGUUUUGCGUAAGUUACUUUAAUCACAUAAUCACAUUUUCAGUCAUAUUGCUAAGACUUUUUUUUAAUCAUUUUAGACGAUGUCCAAAUUUGCACGAGACGCGGGUUGUCGUGAAAUGUUAAACAUUGAACAGCUAGCACAAUUGUUUCGUAGCUGGCCUGGCUGCAUCGACAAGUAUACUUCAUUCCUUCUUUCUUAUAUAAGUUGGGGUCAUUUUUUGUCAUAAUGCGACUAAUGUAUUUGUAAACUUAUUGUUACAGAUUUAUUUGCCUUAUGAAAUUUAUGAGCUAUAUAUGUUGUUCGUCUUCAACCUGCAGAAAAAAAAUUGUCUAUAUUUUGAAUCCGCUUCCAAUACAAUCUUGGGGGGAGCAUUUAUUUAAAACUAUGAAAAUAGGUAAAAAUUUAAACCUUGCCCUCGAAGUUGCAAACCCUGGAUGGAACGAUGAUAUAUGUAAAUGGGAAUGCAAAGUUUCUGAUGUUAUUCCAAGAAACUAUCACGGGUACGAAGUUUCUCACUCCCACACAAUCCUAUCUCAUUUGUUUCAACAAACAAUGUAACGUUACAUAUGUUUGCAGUGAUCUGGAGGAAAUUGCAUGCACGAUCCAUAAACUUGGCAGUGAUGUUCACUUUCAUCCAUAAACUUGCGGAUUUGAAAAAUGUCCCCUUAAACUUGGCAUGUGGGUUCACUUAUAGUCCAAAUUGAUAAAUUCAGGCUAAAUUAGGCUACUCGGUCAUCUUACGUGGCUGGGUGGGUCUUCUUUGCAAAUUUGUGGCCAUUGUUUUUAUUUCAUUGAACCCCAGGUAUUUUUUGGCCUAUAACCCGCGGUCCAGGCAUCGCUACAAAGAGGUGACAUGUUUGAUUUAUUAAAAAAAAACCUCACUCGUUGCGUGUUAAACCGUUGGGCCUUUGUCCUCCUCAGUUACACUGCCUCGCCCGAGGGAGACGAAGCGACGGAACAGAAGGGCCGGACUGCCGGAGGCGAUUGUCAACAAUCUCCGACGGCACAACCGGCAACACCCACGCAGAUGGAAUCGCAUAGAUGAUGACGACUUGAACGGCGGCUCCAUCGACGUCCACACGAAUGACGUCGAUGGCUUCUGCGGCAACUACUGGAAUAGCGACACGGCCGGCGCUUGCUUCAAGAGAGCAGUGGGAAGAUUUGGGAAUUUCUGAGGCUAGGGUUAGGGAUUUAAGCUGUGGGUUAGAACCCAUAUUUUUCCGAGGGGGCCAACGCAAGAUUCCAGAAGCCGCAAUUUUGCAAAAAGAACCCCCCGAGCCACAUCAGAUGUCAGCGUGGCCUAAUUUGGUCCGAAAUUGUCAUUUUGGACUAAAAUGAUCCAACUUGUCAAGUUUAAGGAGCCGUUUUUCAAAUCCGCGAGUUUAUGGUUGAAAGUGAACAUGGCUGCCAAGUUUAAGGAUCUCUAAUGCAAUUUCCUCAGUGAUCUGUCUGGAUAUUUGGUUUUCAAUUUCAUGCACUCAUAUCACAAUGAAAGGCUACAUUAUUCAAUACCGACGAGGAGUGUUUUUAACAUGCUCAUUUGUACCAGAUUAUUACAUGAAUUUUUUUAUGACCAUGUUUUAUGACGCAUGUGUAGGGCGACUACUUGCUCAAACGACGAUUUGUGGCACAUAUUUUAAAGCAUGAACUCAAUGAAGUUGUAGACAAUAUCUCUCCCGAGGAACGAGACAUUCUUGACCGCAUAGAAAAAUGGACGUUCACCGAUUUAAUAGAAUAGUGGAUAAUAUUGUGGAAUACUUGUAUUUUAAUUAUUGCUUCCAAUUUCUGUCGAGUUUUAAUAUUUCGGUACCUAACACGAAUUGUAACACACGUGCAAGCUCACUAGUACUUAAUAAGGGGGAAGGCUGUUUGGCGGAUGCUCGUGGAGAGGAUGCUGGCGUCGAGCGUGAUCAGGCAGGCCUGACCUCAAUAGUCCAUGGACGCCGACGCCGACGCCAAAGCCUCCUAUGUGAUGAUUGUUCACUUCAUAUUCGUUCGUUUGUUUACUUCACGAAUCAUGCCAAAAAUCGAUGUCACAGGGUCUUCCUCUGCUUACUAAUAUCUGUAGGAUCCAUUUUCUUUUGGGUAUCUGAAGAUGGAAGACAAAUGAUAGAUUUAGCAGUUACCAACUAUCUUACCACAAAAUGGCAAUAUAUAAGAAACAUCAGUAGUGGUUUGUGGUUUUUCUUACUUGUUGCUUACGUUUCAGCUUUACGUAAAAAAUAAGAAGUCAAUUAUUUAUUUAUUAUACGGAGUACUUAAUAAGGACCAACGCUUAAUGGGUAACUCGGUCAAUUUGGAAAAAAAGUCAAGUCAAGAAUAGAUCCAUACUCCUCACUUAGCCCCUAUGUGCGCUAGCGAGCAUAGUCAACGCAAACGUGGCUGUCAGCGUCGCGCGUGCUCAAGGCAUGACUUUUUUUUUCUUUUACCUUUGGUUCUUUCUUUAUCUUACUCUUGAGACCUAUCAUGGCUUCCCUCAUUCCUUUAAUCAAUCAAAGCGAUGAAUGGGAGAAGAAUUAGAGGGGGUAUAGAGGAGAUGAUUGCACUAACGACAUUCCUAGUUCUUGGAAAGAGCUGCCACUUGGAGGUUUCUAGUAAUUUAAAAUCUCCGUUUUUAUCAUCUCAUGAAAGGGUAUACUUCCUCCGAGAAGUACAUGGUUAUUUGUCAUGGAUGGUAUAAGUAUUCCAAAGUGGUGUAUAAUUCAUUCGUCCCGUUUUUAAUAGAAACAAAGAAGCCCACCCGAUUUUGAGGAGUCAUAGGGUUCCGUGCUCAAAGCGACUGAACCUUUUAAAAACAUCGGCAUGCAUGUAUUGUUGACUAUGAUGACCUAAAAAAAAGGCGGCAUGCACACACAACUAAAGACUUAUAUACCUCUCUAAUAAAGACAGGAUACACACCCAACUAAAGACUUUGUUGUUGUCCCUUAACGACAACAUGAAUAAAAUCCUGAGCAUUACAUAUGGCAAUUAAAGUUGGCAUGGUGAUUUAAACAUGUCCCUCACUAGAUGUAAUUGCAUUGACGAAAUCGAUGGUACAAAACCCAUUUUUGCCUACAAGCUAUCUAUUCCAAUGAUCGACGAUGCUUGGUUUCAGUUGGUCCGGCCGCCUGAUCAGGAGCCUUUCUCUAGUCCUUCUCUAUCUUCGUUUUGUUCUUUUUACUGUAAAUAGCCUUCGCUUCUGUUGUUCUCCCCUUUGCUCUCUGGUUGAGGAGAUUUGUAAUGAAUCACAGCGUCGCUGUUGCUGGCAAAAACAAAACCAUUUUAGCCAAAAUAUCCUUCGAAGUAAUGAUGGUUUUCACAUUUAUGCAAAGAAACGCUAGAUCAGAUUUGCGCAUGUAGCCUCUGCAUUAAGUAUUUCAUUAGGAUGUUACCGAUCGAGGGGGCAGCUGACUAAGCUGAGUAUGUUGUUUCUGUGGUAAGUGUUGAGCAUAAUCCUUGACUAGCACCGCAUAUAAUUCAGACAGUAAUCUUGAAGGCGUGGAGCAGCGGGAGAGGUAGGAUCUGGACAUGGGCCUGGUGAGGCGAAAGCAGAAUGCGAAGAUGGGCCAGGUCUAGGUAUAGAUCCAAACGGACUCGUAUUUCGAAUCGGCCUUGUAACGCACGCCGCGGCCUUACUACAUAUGCUGAGCCCCAUGGAGGCCGCCAGGUGCCGCCACCGAGAGCAGCAGACACAGAUUGAUCUUCCCUUCCAAACAAGAAACAAAACACAGAUCGAUCUCGACUCCUGACCAUGGCGAUAACGACAGACAUAGCCGACCCGCAGGUGAAGGAGGAUAUCAUGUCCCUGGUCCACGACGGCAUAGCCGACCCGCAGGUGGAGGAGGACCUGACGGCGCUGCAGUCGUCGGUGCGCAAAGGGCUGCAGGCCCUGACGGCGUUCCCCACGAUCGCGCAGCUGGACUGGGUGGACUCCAUCGAGGGCUACGCCGUCAAGCUCGCCGCCCAGAGGGCCGAGGACGCGGGCGACCUCAGCCACGGCGCCCACGUGUUCGCCUGGAGGCUCAGCGGCGGCGCGGCCGACGACCUGUUCGGAGCAAUGCCCAGCGAGGAGGACGCGGUGCUGGUGGCCGAGCUGCGGCGGCAGGCCGCGUGGUGCGAGGCGCCGCGCGCGCAGACGGGCGCCCUGGCGGCGGAUGCGCGGCGGCUGCGGGAGAAGCACCUGAGAGCGGCGUCGGGGAUCUCGAUGGAGAACAAGGACGGCGGCGAGGCCUCCGCGCGGCGACGGGGGAGUUCCUGGAGCACGUGGCGAGGGAGAUGGACAGCGGAGGGGUGUCCUACACCGACGGGCCGAGGGCCGACGCGAUGGACGCGGCGGCGAGGGCCGGGCUGGGCCUCGGCGCGCGGUUCGUGGCGGUGCUCCGGGCGGGGCUGCCCGAGAGGUUCAGGCGGCACGCGCUGGAGGAUUACGGGGCCCGGGAUGAGGCCUUCAAGGAGGCGCUGGGCCGGCGCGCGGCGGAGAUGGAGGAGAUGUGCGCGGAUCCGGAGAAGCUCGUGGAGAGGAUGCUGGGGUCGAGCGUGUGUAGGUUGUGGGGGGCUAUGAACAUGCACGCCAGACCUCGAUCGUCCAUUGCCGCCGCCAAUGCCACGCCAACGCCGGCGCCAAAGCCUCCUAUGUGAUAGAAUCGUUCACUUCAUUCACAUUCGUUCCUUUGUUUCCUUCACGGAUCACGCCAAAAACAUUGCAAUGCAAGUCAAAAUCAAAGUUCGAUUUUUUGGAACCGGCGGAUUAAGAUCUAAAUGUCAUCUCCAUUCUGCUCUUUUUCACAAAUCAUGCCGUUAAAUUAAUAUAUCCGGCAGUUUUAACUAAAAACAAGCGACUUCUCGAUAGAAAAAACAUUUUUGUAUGAGUAGUAUGCAUGUAUGCAGCUUUAUAACAUAGGUAUAAACAUGCACAACAUGAUAAAAUCCUACUACUCCUUCCGACUCAUAUUACUUGUCUCAAAUUUGCCCAAAUAUGAUUAUAUCCAUGUUUAAAAACCGUCUAGAUACAUGUAAUAUUUCAACAAAUAAUAAGAAUAGGAAGGAGUAGUAUAUUCUUGACCUUUCUUGGUCAUUUAUCAAAAUAAUAUCCCAUAUAUUUUUCCACAAGGUAUAAUAUAGGUUCCAUGCAUGGUUGCGACUUUACCCUCGCUAUUCACUUUUCGAGCUAUGCGGACUGCGCCGGAGGAGUCACUUAUAUCAAUUCUACCCAAUUAGAAUUUCUUUUUAAAUGUUACAUGCCCAGAAACAGAACCUCGGGGCGGAGGAGUCACUUAUAUCCAUUGUAGCCUAUUAAAUGUUUGCACGAGUGUAUAACACGGAUUGGAGUAUAAGAGUAAAUCCAAAUGAAGGCCAUCUAUAUUUGCAACAAAGGCAAGUUGGAUAGACGGGAUAGAGUAAUCGCUACAAGCAGUUUCGCUUCCCUCCGUUCCACAUUCAUCCGUUCCACAACACAACGUGCAUAGAUUUUUUUCAUUUUUUUCACAAUGCAUCUCAUUUUUCUCUUGAUAUGCAUCCGGUCAAUAACUACUCACAUUCAUUCAUUAUUAACUCAAUAUGAGUGGUCAGGCACUAGAAACGAGAGUUAUCUCUGACCAAGUGCACAAAUCUAUAGUUGUAUCUUGAAAUGGAAGGAGUAGUAACAAAUUGACUUUUAGUUCAAUCGGAAGUCAGUGCUGUUAGAUACCCACACAUGAGUACUUGGGAGUAUAGGUUUCCUCAAUCCUCAAAUCAGCUCUUGAAUAUUUACAUAUAUACUUUAAUGGAAAGUAACCAUAAAGGACCAGCAAAAUCGAGGGGAUUUUGAAUUUUAUUUGCGCAAGUUAACUUCCAGGUACACAUAUAAUUAUAGCUAUCACCGAAGAAAUGAACUUCAACUCACCGCGUGGUCAGGCACUAGGGCAGGAUAGGUGGUCCUCACUAGCUCUGUCCUCUCGGCGAUGGUGACUUACCAUCUCACCGUCGGAAUUCUUCGACAAAUCAAUAAACUAAUUCGGGUCUUCAUCUGGUCGCGGGCGCGCACGCCGGGACAAGAGCCCUCCUCCCUCUCCCUAGUCAACUGGGCAUUGGUCUGCCGCCCUCGGGAGCUUGGUGGACUCGGGAUCUUGGACCUAACCAAAUUCAGUCGGGCCCUGCGGUUGCGGUGGCCAUGGCUCUCCUGGGCCGAUCGCAACAUGCCUUGGAAGGGGCUUCCCACUCCCUACGGCCUCGAGGAGAUGGCGUUGUUUCGGGCAUCGACCCAUAUCGUCCUUGGCGCCGGCAAGAAAGCCCUAUUCUGGCAUGACGCGUGGCUACUUGACGGUUCUACACCAAGGGACAGAUGGCCUGGGCUCUUUGCCAUCGCCUCCCGCAAGAAUCGCACUGUCCAGAAGGAGUUAACAAACAGGAAUUGGGUGCGGGCCCUGCUUCGCAUUGACACCACCCAACAAAUCAACGACUUCGUCACUCUUUGGGAGUGUAUCCAGGAGACUCAUUUGUCGACCAAGAACGAUUCCAUCUCAUGGCGGUGGGCCCCCUUAGGCUCCUACACCGCGGCUUUGGCUUAUCGCACCCAAUUCCUUGGAUUGGUCCCUCCCUUCAACUCGCAGAAGAUUGGAAGGCCGAGAUGACUCCAUGAUGCAAGCUCUUCGCUUGGACGGUGGCCCAUGGUAGGAUCCUCACGGCAGACAACCUUGCCAUACUCAGAUGGCCACACAACCCUAUUUGCCGUCUUUGCUACAUCCACGGCAAAACAAUCCUACACGUCUGUCGAGACAGCAGCUUCACCAUGGAGGUAUGGAGCCACAUCCAAGCUUGGAGCUCCUCAACCACGACAACAACUCCUCUCGCCACCAACAUUAACACUCACUGGGACGACAUGCUCCAUGGUUCCCCCAAAAAGGAGAAAUGGACGCUAAACGGCAGGAUGAUCGCGACUUGGUGGGGGGUUUGGAAGGAGCUGAACAGACACAUUUUCCGCUCCAAGGCCCUUCCAGCUUUAGAUGAUGCCUUCCUCAUGUGGGAGGAUCUUGAGAGCCGCGCAUUAGCUUCCUCACUUGACCCUUUUCUUUUUCUCGCACUUGCCCCUUUUCUUUUUCUCUCGCCCAAUCCACUGGGUCCGGUGGCAUCUACAGUUUCCUUUCUGCUAAAAAUUCAACUUAUUCGAUCCAUGCCAACACAAACCCUUAAAUUUAUAGAUUUGACAUCCCACGAAAACCAAGCCAUUCCAUUACACAGAAGAAUUAACUCUCCCGCGGCAUCAUCUAGUAUGACUAUACCGCCUUGGGCAGAAUGCCCAUCAAAUUUUUGAUGUGAACAAAUAAAAUCAAGUUACAGCGGAGAAGGAAAAUGUUGGCAAACUUGGGGAGUAUGCAACAGUAACGAACAUCACAUGUCAAUACUGGCAAAAUAAGAGCAAACAGUUUUUACUCCACAAUACGAUUGCAGGUUUACAUGCGGUGGAGAGUCAAGGAUGACACAAAUAAAUAACAUCAUUCGGUCAUUACAUAGUCUUAACAAAUAAAGUGAGGACUCCAGCAGCAGAAGCGCCUCCAUCCUCAAGCUUAAACCCAGCACAUAGCACAGCCUAGCAACUACAAAAAUUCCCAAAACAUGGCAUAAUAAAUUCGAAAUUGUCCAUGACCACGACUUUAAAGUAGAACCCCCAACCAUUUAUCACUUCCCCCCAGAACAAGAAACUUGGUGAUAUUUCAACAAAAACAAGCCCUACCAGGCUCCUUACCAGAUGUCCUCAAGAGGAGCUUGAUCACAGGAGGUCAGCAACGUUGGCUGGGAGCUCUUCAAUCACCACGUUGUAGAACUUCUGGAUGUCAAACAGCAUCCUCUCAUCUUCACGGGUCACAAAGUUGAUGGCAACACCCUUCCUACCAAAACGACCACUACGACCGAUGCGAUGGAGGUAGUUCUCUGGCUGGGUCGGAAGAUCAUAGUUGAUGACCAGGGACACUUGCUGCACAUCAAUACCACGAGCAAGCAGGUCGGUGGUAAUGAGCACACGGGAAGAACCAGAUCUGAACUCCCUCAUGAUGAUGUCCCUAGUGUUUUGGUCCAUGUCACCAUGAGUGGCAGAAACUGUGUGGUCCCUGCCCCUCAUCUUAUCAGUGAGCCAGUCCACCUUGCGGCGGGUGUUCACAAAGAUGACACUCUGGGUGAUGGCAAGGGUCUCGUACAGGUCACAGAGUGUGUCGAGCUUCCACUCUUCCUUCUCCACAUUGACAUAGAACUGCUUGAUACCCUCAAGGGUAAGCUCAUCCCUCUUCACAAGGAUCCUCACAGGCUUGUUCAUGAACUUACGAGUGAUCUCAAGGGCCUCAGGGGGCAUUGUAGCAGAGAAGACUCCAACCUGAAUCUUUCCGGGGAGCAGCUGGAAGAUGUCAUAAAUCUGCACAUACACAACACGGAGAUCACAACUCACAAUUAAAACAUGAAGAGUGAUUUGAGCACAAUAACUACAACUGCCAUAGAAAAGUAACUUGGAUAAUGAUUCAAAUUAAGAUCAUGCAAUUACGCACACAAAUUAUAAGCAGUUGGUUCAGUAAUUCAAUUAAACAUAUGCCAAAAAUGAAGCAUGCCGAAUUUAUUUAAGCUGAAUUAAAAUUUAAGCUGAAUUAAUUUUGCAGUGCCUUUCAAUUAAGUAAUUACAGUGAAUGUCAGACCAAUAAUUUAACUUCAACAGAAUCCUAAUACUCCAUACCAGAUGUAAAAUACAAUAUAUGAAAAUGGGAAUAGAGUGUUUACCUGAUCCUUGAAACCUCGGGAAAGCAUCUCAUCAGCUUCAUCCAGGACAAACAUCUUGAUGUGAUCAGGGCGCAGAGACUGCCUACGCAACAUGUCGAAGACACGACCAGGUGUUCCAACAACAACAUGCACCCCACUUGCAAGAAUUCUUUGAUCCUCACGAACAGAAGUUCCUCCAACACAUGCAUGAACUUUCACACCCAAGUAGUCACCAAGUGCACGCAUAACCUUCUCAAUCUGCUGCGCAAGCUCACGGGUGGGAGCAAGUACCAAGGCCUGGCACUCAACCAAACCAUAGUCAAGCUGUUGCAGGAUUCCAGAGCAGAAGGUAGCAGUCUUUCCUGUUCCAGAUUGUGCUUGCUGAAUAACAUCAAGCCCCUUGCAGAAAGGAACAAUUCCCCUCUGCUGGAUGGCAGAAGGCUUCUCAAAACCUAUUGAACAAAAGACAGACAUGUGAGAAGAAUACUACUUUAACAGGCAAAAAGGUACGACAAAACAGAUCCUGUACCAUAAGCAUAAAUUCCUCUGAGAAGGUUCUCUUGGAGGCCCAUGUCAUCAAAGCUCUCAUGAACUUCAUCAUAGGAUGUGAAGAACUCCUCAGUCUCACCCUGGCUCCUGUAGAAAGCAGCAUCAGUUGUAAGUACCAAAAAGCAAAAACAGACUCAGCACACGACUACAUACAAACUAUCAUUGAUACCAGUGAGUAGCUAAGAUGAUGAAAAAACAAAUUAAUAUUACUUACAGCAGCUCCUGCAUUUUAGAAUCAUAGUUCUUAGCAUCAAACUGGGAACCUUCUGGUGCCAUUCCUGCCAUGGCUGCAGGAGAUAAAAUAUAUGUUAGUUAAAACAGGGGGCAAGGCUAACAAUGCUAUAAAUACAUGAAAAUAUACUCGCAUAUUAGAGUAAAUUUAGAAAAUCUGAAGAAACAAAGAGCACAAAAAUUGAUUCUUUUUUGCCACACAACAGAAAAACUAGACAUACUUGACAAGAAACAUGUAAGAGAAGACCAUAAAGAUGGUCAAUAGAUAAUACAACAUGCAAAACCAAUAUCUCAACAGUAAAGUCGACCAAAGUUGAUGGCUACAAUGGACUGAGUCAAAACAGACCCCUACUAUUAUUACCAUUGUAGCACACUUUCAAGACAAACAAAGAGUAGCAUAAAUAGAUGUAACAUCUUUAGCUUGCCUCACACCAGACAGUGAUGCUGCUGGCUAUGCCUAGACCGCAAGUUCAUACAGCCUGAACAGAGUAAGUAUAAGCACAAAAAUACAUUAUGGCACCACCAAGUAUAGCUUGGUACAAGCCUGGGCCAGCUAGCUACGCAAUAUUUUUGCAGGAUACCAUAACAAAGAGCAUCGCAUAUUCCAAAUAAAUCAACCUAAAGAGCCAUGAGCAACAAAGAUGGCACCGAUCCUUUCAGCCGCAAACAAAGCCCUACAGCGUCAACAGAGAACGAAACCCUAAAAUCGCGUCCUCGACAGCCAAAAACCUAAUCUUUUCCACCGUAUCCAAACAGAUCCAGCCCUAGAACGGCCCAGAUCCGCCCAAUCCCGCAACAAACACCCGCACCUCUACAGAUCGGUCCAGCGAGACGGCGGACGAAACAACAACAGAAGCGGGACGAAUCAAUCGGUGAAGGCAAGAGAGGAGGGGGAGAGAGGGGUUCGACCUGAAGCGACGGAGAGGAGCCGGUGCGGAUCGCCUGGGUGCGCUGCGGUGAAUCCGAGAUCGGGGUCUCGGAUUCGGCGGCGGAGGCGAUGAGGGGAUUGGCAGGAGAGAGAAACAGAGGGUUUGGGCGACGGCGGGGAGAGGCGGCUUUUAAGGGGUCCUCGGGGCGUAGUGGAGCGAGAGAGUCCGGGUAGGGUUUCUCUCUUCAAUGGGCCGCUGAUGGGCUCUCAGGGCCUGGACCCGUGUCCCUGUAGGACUCUCUAUAUUUAUUUUUCUUUUUGUUUGUUCUUCCUUAUUCUUUUGUUUAGGGAUGUUCUUUCACUUCUUCCUUAUUCUCGAUCCCGGAAAAGGUGCCAUGGAAAAUUGGAUGAUUGGAUACGAGUAGCAGUAGGAUUGGAAAAAUUUGUUGAUAAUUUCUUCUAAAAUUUGCGUUACCAAAUUUGGGAGGCAUUUGCUUUGCUACAAAAUGCCAAUACUUAGCUCUGGAGCAAUUUUGCAUCAAGCCGAGCAUGUCCCACCAGGUCUGUGAGAAGAUAACUUUGCCGGUUUAUAUUAUGCAGGAACCGUGUGGAGUUUUUAGAUCAUUUAUGUACUUUAAAGACAACCGAAUCUAGAAAGGGGAAUGGCAACCAAGCAUGGUCCAAACCGGCCUUUUCUUAUUCUUUAAAAUGAAAGGUCCAGCUUUGUUCUAUGGCCAUGGGCAUUACAUCUGCCUCGUCACUUUCACAUGACUUUUGAAAAGAAAAUCCCAGGGAACAAUUCAAUUCUUGCCAUGGUAAGAUUUGGGACGUGUACUUUUGCUGCUACAAUGUUACUCUUCUGUUCCUUCUAUAAGAUGUUCUAAGUUAAAAAAAAAUAUAGUUUGAUCAAAGUUCAAAAGAAAACUAUCAACGUCUACAAUUCUAAAUUAGUUCUAUUAAAUUGGUCAUACUAUAUAUCUUCACAUUAUACUUAUUUGAUAUUGUACUCCCUCCUUUCCAUAUUAAGUGACGAAAUAUACAUGUAUCUAUUAAGUGACGAAAUAUACAUGUAUCUAGACAUUUUUUGGAUAUAAAUACAUCCAUAUUUUGGCAAAAAUUUGAGUCACUUAAUUUGAGACGGAGGGAGUAGAUGUUAGUAUAUUUUUUCUAUAAAUUUGGUCAAAAUUUUAAAAAAAUUGACAUGGGACAAAGUCUGGACAUCUUGUAAAAAAGGACGUGGAGAGUUCAAAACAAUAAUUCAAACAAUUCUUUUCUUUCUUCAACACUUUGAAUGUAAGAAAUAAUAAAUCAGCCACAUUUCCGAUAUGUAGCAUUACGUUUGCUUACUUUACAGAAAAAAUGAAUGGCAACUAUAAAUAAAGGCUACAUCAUGCUUACAAGAUUUACAUUAGGUAUACUGAGUUUGUGACUGACUAAAUGGCGAAGCAAUUUGCUCCUUAUUCAACCUUGGAACAGAAAGGAAUGCUUUCAGCUUAUUGCUAUUACACAUACUGAAGGCCGCCCAAUUUUGGGGGACAAGUUGGGGAACCCGCACUUUCUAUUAUUUCCAGCUGUAAAUUGGCAGGGAACCAUGGCAAUUGUCAAUGGAGCAUGCUUGUUUAUGAGCUCAUGCAAUGCUUCCCUGGCUCAGUGUAGUUCACCUCCAUCUGCUCAACCUUCUCCAACUUGAAUCCACGGAUCCGGAUCUCUUCCUUCUCCGAGGUGUCCUUAUGGUCAAUGUGCUGGAUAGCCCACCCUUUGUUUUCUACAUGACCGGUGACUUUGACCUGCGAAUGGGCAGAGUAAUCCAUCAUUAAGAUGACUGUGACGGGCACAGCAGAAUUCUCUAGGGUAACGGUGUUUGUACUACCUCUGCUUCAUCGACGGAAUUGACUAUAAGAGCACCGUCCAAGGAAAGACCGUCGAGUACGAUGUUCUGGCCAUUGAUGACCAAAACUGAUCUCUGGGAAACUGAAGAGUUGCCAUGCACUUUCCCCCUGACAUCCUUGAAUGUAAGACCCCACCUAGGGCUCCAAGUUAUGCGUGCCCAAACCUCUACCUCUUGACCGUUGAAAGUAUCGAUUACCGGGUCAGCUAUUUGUGCAGAAGCCUGGAUAAAAGUGAGAAAAGGAGCUUGUUAAGCUGGAGCGCAAACAAAUAGUGAGUUGAGAAGGAGAAAGUGGCCUUGUCACCUUUCUUAAAAUGAGGCUGUUUGCCCUGUAAAUUGCCAUCUCUCCUGAGGUUGCACUAUGAUAAGGAUUGCCUUUUGGAACCUAAAUCAAGGUGUAUCAUAGACUCAUCAAUACAUACAUAAGUAUAAAAGUCAACUGCUUCCUAACUGAACUGCGACUGUUGGUACAGGACUGAUGCAUAAUAUAAUAACCUCUUGCAGACUUUUCAGUGAGCAUAGUAAUAUCAAUGCACAUAUGAAAUACAGAUGGCAUCAUAAAAAGCGAAGAGGGACUUAAGUUCUUGGUGUACUGCUACUGUUGGUACAGGACAGAUGCAUAGAAUAUCAGUAUUAGCUCUUGAAGAUUUGUAAGUGAGCAUAGUAACAUUAAUGUGCAUAUGAAAUACAGAUGGCAUCAUAAAAGGUGCAAAGGAACUUUAGUUUUCAGCGUACUGCGACUGUUGGUAGUGGUACAGCCCUGAUGCAUAAUAUCCUUACAAUUAAAUCUAGGAGCAGUGCUACAGUUGGUGCAGGCCUGAUGCAUAAUAUCAUUUACAAUUAAAACUCUCUUUUUUUUAAUGGAAAACAGUAGGGCUUGCAAAAUUAAGUGCAUUGUAACAUCAAUGUGCGUAUGAAAUACACAUGGCAUCAUAAAAGGUGCAGAUGAACUUUAGUUCUUGACGUGUCACAACAAGGCAAAGUCGAUACCGACAACUAACAUGCCCAUAAAAGAUACAUACUUUAACCUGGAUGAUAAUUCAUCAAUGUUAGUGUAAAUUCAGAUAGAGCCAUCUUCUUACCAAGUAUAAAUGCUUCAUAUGCAAGUUGAAAAUAAUAUGCAACAUGGAAAUAAAAAAAAAUCAAUGGUCAUUAGGGCUGAAAUCAUACUUUAGCUGCAUCUUCAGGAUUAUUCUUUACAGGAGCAUAUGCAAGCCAAGUAUCCAUCACCUAGCAUUAAGAAAAAACACGAAACGGUAAGGACAUGAAAUAUCUUUUUUGCAUCUGAAUAAUAUCUACCAAAUUACAACCAUGGUCAAUGUAAGGACCAUUAUACAGUGACAGUGAUCUCCUUAGAUGAAUAAAAACAGCCCUACGAUCUCACAUGCCUUCUUCUCUAAGCAUGUGCAAGUUGUACUGUUUGCUGUUCAUGAAAGGUUAUAGGAACUAGCAAUUCCUGGCACAACUUUAUGGUUCAAAUCGGAUGAUCUUGACAAUGAGUAUGCAGAUGUAAUACCAACUUCUGCCAAUAGACUACAGACAACAAAGAUAAACCAAAUCACAUUCAUCUAUGUGGCCUGCACUAUCUUGAGUUUGCAGAUCUCUGAUGUAACAUUAACUGUAUGUGUACACCAGCAUUCCUAUAAGCAGAAUGGAUUUAGAAUUUUAGAUUGAGCCAGAUGCAGCAUACUCUCUCCUUUUCAGAUUCUUAGGCACAUCUCAAAAUCCAAAAUUUCUAGUUUAUAAGCCCAUUUGCUUCGAAAAUAAGCAAACAUUAAUUACAUCUAUACGAAUUCCUGUGUAACUUUGGUUCUCAAUAUGAAACCAACCAAUGCAUGAACGGGAGGGGUAGCCAUGCAUGUUGCAUUUAUACAUGUCCUAGCACUUAACUAGGUGCUCAUUGGUUACUAUGUUUUCUGAGAUGGUCCUAAGAAACUGAAAAGGAUGGAAUAAUAGGAUUUGGAAAGACCAAAAGUGAAAGAACGAGGAGCAGAAACAUGCUUCUAGUGCAAGACAUAAAGUCAAAAGGAUAUAAAGCUGGUUAGUUAGCAAACUCAUUCUUACAACAGAGGGCUCAGCUGUAAGUUGUCCCUUACCGUAAACCCAACUUUUGCCGUUGGAGGCAGUGUUUUUGGAUAGUCUUGCAUCAUGCACUCAAGGCGAGUGGAGGAUUUAAAUGCUGACUUUGUAGAAUCAGUAUACCUAAAUAGACAAAAUGAUGAAAAUUGAAUAAAAUUAAAAUAAAGCACUCCUGGUCAUGAUUUACAAAACUCACAAAGUCGCAAUCAGACAUCAUGAUAGAUGAACUCAAUUAAGAGUUUAUUAUAUUGUAAAUUCUCGAGACUACUGCUGCCUCUAUAAGAGUACCUUGAUAUUAACUAGCACCGAUGCAUCUAGGAAAAUACUACACGGAACACAUGUCACUUGGCGGAUAAGACAAGGAACUGUUUUGAAUCAAUUUCUUCAUAAAGUAAAAUAGGAAAAAGGAAGAUUUCAUAGAGAAAAAUGGGUCCACAACUGAAUUGAAGCUGGAAACAUACUUGUUGGUUGCACAAAUAGCAAUGUAAAAAAACGUCUUUUGGAGCAAAUAGAAGAAUAAUUACUUCGGAUUUACAAAUUCAGAAAUGGCACCAUGUGUUUUCUUGAGCUCCUCAAUGUAUGGUCCAAGCUCCAGUAUCAACUGCAAAAGUACAGCAUAAAGUCAGGAUAACAAAAAAAAAACAAGCACGGAGACACUAUGCAUACUAAAGCUGACAGAAGAGUAAUGUUCAUUUUUUUAGAGCAAUGGAGAACAUGUGCUGAUGCUCAUCAACAGUUUGAACAGUUGUACUGCAAUUUUUGGUAACAACAUACACAAUAAGUCAGUAAUUUGAUACUAUACUGCAAGACGACACUAGUAAUAUUAAACAGACAUGUCAUGUUAAAGCACCAUGUUUUUAGUAUUUGGCGACCCAUGAAGCAAAGGAUCAUUUGGGAGUUAACAAAGCCCUAGUAUUUAUAUCUGUUUGCAAACAUUACCUGGUUUAUGUUUCCAGGGUAUGGAGAAUAGCCUGUUUCACAAUUUGCAUCUCCGUCGGGAUGCCCAGUUGCACGAAGGAGUGGAUCAAGCUGAUUGUACUCAACAUUAAUCACCAUAGUUCUACCUACAGAUAAGAGUGGAUCUACGUCAAAUUGCACAGAAACAACUAGUUGUACAGAAGUGGGAAAGGCGAGUGAAAAUAAAUGCAUUCUUCCAUAGGAACGGAUGGAUUAGAUGUCAGUACUGACCAACUGAAGAAACAGAUCAUGAUUUUUAAAAUUUGGCACUGCAGAUACAUUGUAAUCACUACUGAUUCAUAAUACUAUUGUCCACGAUAUCAGAAAAGUGCCAAACUUUCUUCUGUGUAAACCAUAAAUAGCUCGCAUGAAAUGAGGUAAUUUUGAAAAAUUUACCAUCAAGAUGAGUAAGUUUGGUUAUUCCUCCAAUAGCUUCCUUUGCCUUCCGAGGAACUGCGAGAGAAUUAACAUUGUACCCCUUGCUGGCACUGACACCUAAUGCUGAUGGUAUAGCCUAAAUAAAGAGGAGAAUGUUAUAUAAGUUCCCGGCACCCUACGGCGUUUCCCAAUUUAUAUAAUAUAGUACAGGAAGGAAGUUUACAAACAUUGAAUAGCAACCCAUUUGUGUCCUGGAAAAAGAGAACCCAUUUUCUUCCUGUACUCUUCCUGUCAAAUGAAUGAGAAAUGAGAAGUAUCAUAAAAAGAAUAUGCAUAGUUUGCACUUUGCUUGAUUACACAUUAUGUCAAAAAGAUCAAUGAUAAUUGUUAGUUUCCUUCAAACGGGCAACAAUAUCUAUUGAGAAUGUUUCUUGAACGAAAAACAUAUAGCCACUUCUUGAAUCAACAAACAUACCAAUGCUCAAGUAAUCCGCUUGAAUAAAGAAGAGAAUGAACAUCUCCAUGCCCAUGUGGCUUUGUCUGCCGAAUCACAAAACUAUAAGUAAGAGAAGAGCUAGCUCAAGAUAAGAACAAUAAUACGAUGUCAUAUAUUUAAAAACCCAACUUUAGUAAAUUAGCAACCUGGAUCUUAUACAUGUCAUUUGGAUCUAAUGCCAGCCUUGCAUCAUUGUCAGCUAGACAUGCCACCUUUUCCUGAAAUGAAAUAAAAAUUACUGUGAGCACGAACCUAACAGCUCAUUUCCCCCUUUAUGGCUCUGUAUUUUCGCCUCUCUCAGCGAAGAAGCCAGUAGAGUUUCCUCCGUUGUCUAAAAACUGAUUUUGUCCCUAAGAAGUACAUGGUAGAAAAGGCAAAAUGAAAGCCACCUGCUUCAGAAUCUUCACUUGUGAUGGUUCCAUUCCAAAAUAAGCGUUUGAUUCCAAAAGUUUGAUGGUUAGUGCAUUUGUAUCAUCGGAAGUCAUAAUAACAAAUGGGAUUUGUGUAUGGCAUUCACCUGCACAAUCAAGGAAUAAAAAAAGUAAUCAGCCAACCCAAUAUCUGAAUUUUCUUGAGGCCCAACAUAUUGUGUACAUCUAAACAAUUGAAAUCAUGGCAGAUGAGAAAUUUACAAGAAAACCAAAAAAUUUGUUUGUAUAUCCAACAUGCUGCGUAAGAUUCUAUCAGGUUUGAAAAGGGGGGAGAUUCUAUCACCAAACAGAUCAAAUGAUGAAAUAAGAGACUGAGAAAUUUGGUUUAACAUGUCUGAUUCAGGUCUUUAGGCCUAAGCUCAUCUUGAUCUAGGCUAUAUAAGUUGGGUGAAAACUAGUACUCCCUCCGAUCCAUAUUAAUUGUCGAAAUAUUACAUGUAUCUAGACGCUUUUUAGGCAUAUAUACAUCCAUAUUUGGGCAAAUUUGAGUCAAUUAAUAUGAAUUGGAGGGAGUACUACAAAUACUAUGUCAUAUCUCAGGUUUACAUAUUCAGUGACAUGUCUUUGAAUGUCAUCCUUUUUUUUGCGCAAAUUUGAAUGUCAUCCUUCUUUACACAUUAACAACAGCAAGUCAAUCUAAUUCUGCAAGCUCAUAUUUGACAUGUAAUGUCAUCCUUCUUUUUACAGAUUAACAGCAGCAAGUCAAUUUAAGUCUACAAGCUCAUAUCGGCUCGUCCACCAGUCACACCAACCAAUAGGAACAAUUAGGAGAGAAAAUCCAAUUCACGGAAAUGUCUUCGAGUGAUAUCUUUCUUUACACAUUAACAGCAGCAAGUCAAUCUAAUUCUACAUGCUCAUAUCGGCUCGUCCACCAGUCACACCAACCAAUAGGAACAAUAGGAGCAAAAAUCCUACUCCCUCCGGCCAGAAUUACUUGUCGCAGAUUUAGUACAAUGCGACAAGUAAUUCCGGCUGGAGGGAGUAUUUCAUUUCAAGAAAAUGCUAAACUAAAGCAAAAAGAGUAAAGUCCGAAUAGUCAAUAGCUACCGAAAAACUAAAAUACUCCUCCGAUCCUGAUUUAAUUGUUAGGAGGGAGUAGUAUUUUUACAUACUAGUAUAGUAAAAAAGUACUGGUAAAAAAUCAACAAUGACAGAUUAACAAGCAUCAUAGGAAAUGCAAAAGUAUUUGUAAGAAAAACUGAUCAGUAACAGGUAUCGUAGAAAAAUAUCAACAAGUCACUAAUCCAUUGAACAUGUACCAUAAUCUACUUACCCUCCAUCUUGCAGCUGGCCUCUUGCAAAGCCAGAAUGGAUUCUAUGUAAUGUUGAAGAAAACAUUUUCCACUGGUUAUUUCCCUCGGGAGUGCUACCUGCAAUGAAAUAACUUUAAUAAAAUCACUGCAUGGUACUUUCAGAAACUUGCUUGAUAUUAAGGUCAUAAAACAGACUAGUGGACGGGCAGAGAAAAUGAGUUUCAUGCUCCCAAUUGCGAAUUAAUCAAGAGCCAAUAAGAUAUUAAGAGCUUAAUGGAUUUAAAGGUACAUAAUGAGCUUCUAAAGUCAAGGCUAAUGAUAUUCGAACAUGCUUACUUCCAUGGUGAUUUAUAAGCUUUGUGCGCAUUCCUUGAACUGUGAAGAUGGAAUUGUGCUUCCAUAAUUUUUGUCUCUGAUCGGUGCUCUUAUUUUCUGUGUUUCGGGCGAUGCGGUAGUGCUAGCUAGAGAGUGAUGAAAACAUACUGUAGCAUAAACAUAGGGUGUGCAAGUGGAAAUUUUAUAAUAGAACAACAGAAGCAAUAUUUAAUUCCGUAGCUGCACUACCAUGUGUCAUAUCUUUCCAAUUCUGUAAAGGGAUUAAGUUUUCUGUUAGGAAGACAUGACACAUUACCUUAAUCCCUUUGUAACCAAGUCUUUCACCAAGUCCACCUGCUACAAGAACAAACACAGCAUUGCGUGCUUCUUUUACCCCAGUUGCUUCCAGUGAAACAAAAUUGUCGUCACCGAAGGUCAAUACUUCCCCUGAGGGAACCUGCAGAUACAGUUCCUCUGUUAAGGCCAUGCACUUGUUUCAGAUAAAAGGCAUAUCACCACAAAUUGAUUCAGGAAAAAGAAGCAAUUAAGCAUAUGGAAAUUGCAAUUGAGAUCACAUAAAACACAAGAAGAAAUCACAUUUCAAAAGAAACCAACAAAUUCACCAAAAAAUGGCACAUGGCCAGACUUACAGAAGGUGUGAAGCCAUCAUAUGGAUUUUUUCCUGCCCUUGAAUCUGCUAAAAGCUUUUUGGCAUUCCGAAUGUAUGAAGCCAGCCCACCAGGAUAGCUUGAAUGAAGUCGGUGAACCUACAUAACAAAAACUUUAGCAGGGAAGAAACAACCUUUAAUUUUGCAUGCAAUUCUGUUUCUGAAUUUGUUGGACUAGACAAAGUAGGGAAAAGUAGGAGGACACAAGGCCUUGUUCUCUUUUAUUUUAAUAAGAGACACAAGGCUUCAGAGAAUUAGUAACAGCUAAGGUUCAUAGGUGCCUCUGAUAUUAAAAUCUCACAAUGAACUUCUAUUGCAUUGGUAUAUUGUCAGUACUCAGUACACAUUCUAUGGAUUCCAUGAUAAAUAUGCACAUCGAUGAACAUUAAUGCUAAAGUAUUUCACGAAUACAAAGACUCACCUGGUCAAAGAAGCUUCUUUUCUUGUCAUCAUCAACACCUGGUUCUGGCCAGUGUUCAAACAAGUGCGUCUGGCCUUCAUUCAGCAGCAUCUUUGCAAGUUCAACCUGGAAUCACCGGAUACAAGUGUUACACUAAGCAAAAAAAAACAAUGUGCAUGAUCAAUCGCUGUUUGGAUCGAAAUUAACCACUCUUGACGCAUGUAAUUAAUAAAUAAAAUACGGUAACGUAAUUCUCUCUGUGAAGUCAAUGUCCAGAUUGGGCUAGGAUCGAGUACAGCCCCCACUUCCAAGAGCCGGCCAACUUGGCAUGGAAUUGAUAAAUGCUCUCAACUUGGCCGGCCAAGUAGCCCUCACCACGUGAGGGAACUACUACUAAAUCGCAGAGAACGAAAGGUGGUUGGCCGGCAGUACUGGCGUUAAGAACUGCCGGAACACUGCAGCAAAUCCUAAAAGAUUUUCUGAACACCGUCCUAAACAUUAAGAAGUCUGGAGAUAAAAAGAUACUAGUAGUAGUACUAGUAAUGAAGUUACAGUGGUACCUGGUCGUGGGAGAGGAGUUGCAGGUUCCGCCGCAGCGGCGCGGGGCAGUCGGAGAUCCCGAGCGCGGCGACGCCCUCCGCCGCCGAGUCGGCGCCGGAAGCCAUGUUCGCGCGAGGAGGACGAGGAGGAGGCGGCGGUUUGCGUCGCUGUCAGGCGCGUGGAAUCACGAGGCAAAACCGUCUCUCGUCUACUAGUCUGCUGCUGCUGCGGUGGCGUCGGUUUCGACAGAAACGGAUAUAGACAGAGGGACGGGGGACGCGUGGGCCACGGUUGCCGGCGCGUCUAGAGUCGUGCGGGGUCGGCGGUUAUCCUCAGCGGCGCCGGGAAGGGGAAGGGGAUUUGGGGCGAGACUGCGAAAGAGAGAGAGAGAGGAAGAAAAGAAAGCGAUGGUCUACUGGGUUGGCUAGACGGCGGCGGCGGCGGCGGCGAUGAGGCCUUUUACUUUGAUGACUCACGUGGACAUGGUCAUAAGCGGCCGGCGCGCGAGGCGAAGCGACGGCGGCGACGGGCGCGCUAGGCGGAGUGACGGGCACGGCGGGCGCACAAGGCGGAGAGACGGCCGCGGCGGGCGCGCGAGGCGGAGCGACGGGCGGCCGCGGGAGCGCGAGGCGUGGCGACGGCGGCGAGGGAGGCGCGAGGGGAGGGCGGCGGGGCGGGCGAAGGAGGCGGGAGGCGAGGGCGGCGGGGCGCGAGGAUCUGGGGCCGCCGACCGUCGGAGAGAAGAGGCGGAGGCGGCCUGCGGGGAGAGGGGUGGAUGCGCGCGCGCGAGAGAGAGUGGGGCGGGGCGGCGGGGUCGUCGGGAGGAAGGAGGAGUGGAUCUGAUGUGCAUUGGGCUGGGCCGAAUUAUACUGAACCGGGUUUUCCGGUUUCCGGGUUCGGGUUCGGCCAUACCAGACCCGAACCCGCCAGACCCGACGGGUCCGAAAUUUCCCCAUUUACGGACCCGCGGGUCUGAUUUUUUCUCCGACCCGCAUCUAAUCGGGUCUAGACCCGUCGGUAAUCGGGUUUCGGGUACCCAUUGCCAUCCAUACAUCCGGAUCGAGCCGUCAGACACAGCAGUACACGCGACUCGCAAUACCUUCGCCGCUCUCUUCCUUGUUGUACUCCGUACUCCCAUUUUUACGGCUCCCUUCCUCGUAUAUGCAAAUUGAGAUUUAAUUUUGAUUAAAUAUUGGAUCAAUGAUACAUGGAUUAUGUGAUAUAGGUAAAAAUUGUUAUAGCAUUGUAUUCGUAUUGGAAAGAAGGUUUCCAAUUGUAUAAAUAUCAAAACACAUUAUUCAUAUUUUAUCGGUCGAAAUUGACGAUUACAUAUAAAUCUUCGAAUAUGAGUCCGAUAUUUGUUCGGUGGAACGCUCACCUUGAUCUCGGUGGCGAUUACGUGUUGAUUUAUAGCUAGGAACAGCCCCUAGCGUGACCUUACAAGUUAAUAUCCACUCAGCCUUAGUUAAUGUCCACUCAGCCUUAAAGAGUGAUUACAAACGGAAGGCACUAAGGUAGUGUUUGGUUGGAGAACGAGGUAGAAUGUAAUGGAACGGUUCUAUUCCAACAGGAAUGGAAUGUAAUGGAACGGUUCUACUUCCAUAUAUUCUAGAAACCAAACACCUACAACCACUGGUUUCACUUGGAACCAAGUGAUUCCUACUUUUUUGAGGAAUGAGAUAGUUAGGCAUAUUAGAAGAAUAUUCUCUUUUGAGGAACCAAGUGGUUCCAUUCCAGUUUUCAAUAUUCUAUGAACCAAACACAAGAAUCAUCUCAAUUAUUGGACCCAUUCCAUUACAUUCCACCUCAUUCUCACAUUCAAACACUACCUAAGAAUAUGAAGCAACAACAGAAGAAUAGGAAGAGACACAAGACGGUUGGUAUGCAUGCCCUUAUAUCGCUAACACCCUCCCUUAAUCACAACUUGCUCAAGUUGAGAUUACGCCUGAAUUCUUGCAAGUUCUUGACUGGAAGUGCUUUUGUAAAGCCAUCUGCAAUUUGAUCUUUUGAAUGUAUGAAUCUGAUACUCAGUUGUUUGUUUGCAACUCUCUCUCUCUUACGAAGUGGAAGUCGAUUUCAAUAUGCUUUGUUCUGGCAUGAAAUACAGGAUUAGCUGAUAGAUAAGUAGCACCCAAAUUAUCACACCAAAGACAAGGAGAUUGUUCCUGUUUAACUCCAAGUUCUGCAAGCAAUGAUUGAACCCAUAUUAUUUCUGCAGUAGCAUUUGCCAAAGCUUUAUAUUCGGCUUCUGUGCUUGAUCUUGAUACAGUUGCUUGUUUCUUUGCACACCAUGAUAUCAAGUUUGGCCCAAGAAAGACAGCAAAUCUACCUGUAGACCUCCUGUCAUCAAGACAUCCUGCCCAAUUUGCAUCUGAAAAGGCACUCACCAAGGUGGAGGAAGAUCUCAUGAAUGUGAGACCAAGACUAGCAGUAUCCUUAACGUAUCUAAGUAUUCUCUUAGCUGCAGUCCAACGUACUGUUGUAGGUGCAUGAAGAAAUUGACAUACUUUAUUUACUGAAAAAGCAAUGUCUGGUCUAGUAAGUGUCGAAUAUUGAAGUGCACCAACAAUACUUCUGUACCUUGUGCUGUCUUCUUGUCCCAAUGGGUCACCAUCCAAAGCAGAUAAUUUUUCAGUGUUAGAGAGACGUGUAGGUGCAGCUUUACAUGCUUGCAUUCCUACAUUAGUCACAAGAUCAGUUGCAUAUUUCUCUUGAGUCAAGAUAAGACCAUUCCUUGUUUUCUUCACCUCAAUGCCGAGAAAAUAAUGUAGGUCACCUAAGUCCUUAAGGGCAAAGUUUGCACCUUGAUCCUUUAGCAAUGCUGUAAUUGCUUCAUCAGAUGAACUUGUAACAAUUAUGUCAUCAACAUAUAUAAGCAUGAACAUUGUAAGACCAGACUUGUGAUAGAUGAACAAGGAUGUAUCAGCCUUAGAGGACACAAAACCAAGUUCUUGCAAUUUUAAACUUAACCAAGAGUACCAUGCUUUGGGGGGUUGCUUGAGUCCAUAUAAAGCUUUAUCAAGUUUGCAAACAUGGAAUGGUAUUUUCUUGUCUUCAAAACCUGGGGGUUGUCUCAUGUAUACAUCCUCUUCUAGAACACCAUGAAGAAACGCGUUCUGUACGUCUAGCUGUCGAAGACUCCAUCCCCCGGAAACAGCAAUAGCCAAAACAAGACGAAUAGUAGCAGCUUUAACAAGCAGACUAAAAGUGUCCUCAUAAUCUAUACCGUAUCUCUAUUUGAAGCCUUUUGCCACGAGUCUUGCUUUGUAACGAUCUAUGGAUUCAUCAGCCUUUUUCUUGAUCCUAUAGACCCACUUGCAAUCUAUGAUGUUUUUACCUUCUUCUUGUGGAACCAAAUGCCACGUUUUGUGUUUCAUCAAGGCCAUAUACUCCUCGUUCAUGGCUUCUUUCCAUUUUUUUAUCCUGAAGUGCAUCCUCCAUAUUUUUUGGUUCACCCGUAGAUGAUAGCAUAGCAUAUCGUAUCAUACCUUUGUACAAUUUUCUUGGUUGUACAAUACCUCGCUGAAGUCUUGUAACAGGACGGUGUUGCACAGGCACAGGGCGAUGCAAAGGACGAACUGCAGCGUUGCUCGUUCCAGAAGAUCCGGAGGCACCUGAUGCCUCGCUGCUCGAGGCCGAUUAUGUCAACCCAGGUUCUAUCGGCCCACUCGGAGACAAGCCAGGAUCGCCUGCGCGCACGUCCGAGGACGUCUGGGAUCCACGGCUUGCGGCCGUUUGACUGCUCGCGAUUGGCGUGCGCCGGCCCGUGCGCCCUCGAGAUUCUGCCGUGCCAGGAGAAUUUGUCUAGACGUGCUUGGGCCCGCCAGAUCUUCCUCGGAAUCUUCCCCAUGUGCGUCGUUUUCUUCAGGCGCAUGUACGUCGAUCGGGGGAGGUUGCAGGUUGUGACUUUUGACCAAAAUUUGCACCGUUUUCUCCUGCAUUUUCUGCAACAAAUUCACCACUGGGUACAGGAUUAGUAGUAUGAGAAUUAACCAAAUGAUCAAAACGGUUAUUAUCCUCCCCAUGGUCAAAAGGACGCAAUUGCUCAGGAAGAAGCAAAAUUUCUUUGCGAAGUUGAGCUCCUGCAUUUGGAUGAAGAUGUUGAAAUGGAAAGAUUGUUUCAUCGAAUACUACAUCUCUGGAAAUAUAGACACAACCUGUUUGAACAUCUAGGCAUUUUACUCCCUUGUGCAUGGCACUAUAUCCAAUAAACACACCUUGUUUAGAUCGAAAGGAUAGCUUGCGAGCAUUGUAGGGCCUGAGGUUGGCCAACAUGCACACCCAAACACACGAAGUGCGGUGUAAUCAGGAGUUUUAUUAAAGAGGCGUUCAAAAGGUGUAUGAAAAUCAAUGACUUUUGAGGGCAACAUAUUUAUGAGAUGUGUGGCAGUCAAAAAAGCUUCAUCCCAGAAUUUUAAUGGCAUAGAGGCGUUAGCAAGAAGUGCUAGCCCUACUUCUACGAUAUGCCGAUGUUUUCGCUCCGCAGAACCAUUUUGUUGAUGGGCAUGGGGGCAUGACACAUGAUGAGAGAUGCCAAAUUUCUGAAAAAAUGAAUUUAACUUUUCAUAUUCGCCUACCCAGUCAGAUUGGAGGUAAAAAAAUUUCUCCCAAAUUUGCGUUCAACAAGUGCUUGGAAAUUAUGAAAAACAUUGAAGACAUCAGAUUUCUUUUUGAUGAGAUAAAUCCAUGUGAACUUGCUGAAAUCGUCAAUAAAGCUAACAUAAUAUUUGUGUCGACCAACUGACACGGGAGCUGGCCCCCAAACAUCCGAAAACACAAGUUCAAGAGGUGAAGUGGAAACACUUGUUGAAAUCGAAUAAUGAAGUUGGUGACUUUUUGCCCGUUGGCAAGAAUCACACACUGAUUCUGGCUUUCCAUGAAAAGGAAGCUUGUUAUUCCUAAGCACUCGUUCAACGACUGAAAAAGACGGAUGACCAAGACGACUGUGCCACCUUCACCGAAGAGACUUUGGUGACUCCAAAAGCUUGUUUAUUGGGAGUUUUAUCAUGUGGAAUCAAAGGGUAGAGACCUCCUCUACACCUGCCUCGGUAAAUUACCCUCCUCGUGACCUGAUCCUUAAUCAAAAAGAAUGUUGGCCAAAAUUCAACAUAAGCAUGAUUAUCAAUGGUAAGACGAUUAACGGAGAGGAGAUUUUUAGAGGCUUCAGGCACAUGAAGAAUAUUGUUUAAUAGAAUUUUGUGAUUGGGGGUUUUAAUAACCGAAUGACCAAUAUGAUUAAUUUUUAUACCUGCACCGCUUGCGGUGUGGAUUUGUUCCUGCCCACGGUACUUGUCGCGGAUGGUCAGCUUCUCAAGCUCGCUGGUGACAUGAUUGGUGGCUCCGCUGUCCAUGACCCAAUUUGUGUCGACUCCAUAGGAGGCAACAUUGGCGAAGUGCUCUUCUUGUUCAUCCUCGUUGUAGCGGUACCAGCAGUCCUGCGCACUAUGGACGGGUUUGCCACAAAUUUGGCAGGCGAUUUUGGCUCGAUCUGAGCCUUGUCCACCACCACCGUGUGAGUUGCUGCGAGAUGGCGAUGCCCCCUUGUUGUUGUUGUAGAACGGGGUUCAACCACCACGGUUUCGGCCACGGCCUCCAUUGCCGCGACCUCAAGGUGGGCCUCCACGUCCGCGUCCGCGACCACGUGACGCGGAGUAGUUUGCGGAGGACUUGAAGCCACCAUUGCCUUCCAUGGUUGAUCCGCCGAGAAGUUCAGCGCGCUGGUCAAAGUCAACAUUUGCGCGAACAGUUCGUCGAGAGUGAUCUCCUCCGUGCGUGCAUCCAGAGCCGACACAAGAGGAUUGUAGUUCUCGUCGAGCCCUGCUAGAAUAUAGGAGAUGAGUUCAUCUUCUGCAAGUGGCUUACCAGCCGUGGCGAGCUCUUCUGCGUACGACUUCAUCUCCGCAAAGUAGGCCGCCACUGUCUUGUUCUCCUUCCUGCCGUUGGCGAGGGCAAUGCGAAGGUGUUAAUCCGCGAGCACGACGUUAAGGUGAACAUGCUCCCGAUUGCAUCCCACACAGCCUUGGAGCUUGUCAGCGCCGCCACUUGGAUGAGGACUUCCUUGGACAAGGAGUUCAGCAGAUAGCCAAGUAUCUCUUGAUCUUGCGCUUCCCAUAGAGCAAACACUGGAUUCGCCACGACCUGAGACUCGACGGUUGUGGUCCUUGCCGGCGCCGUCGUGGUACCAUCAAGGAACCCGAAGAGCUGGGCGCCCUUGAGUCUUGGAAGAACUUGGGCACGCCAUAAGAGAAAAUUCUCACGAGUUAAUUUCUUGGAGACUUGAUGAUUGAUGCUGAUGAUGGCUGAGGAGGUCGCCAUGGAUGGGCUUGGUUGAUUGCUAGACGGAAAUAGAAGGGGAAGGCUCUCAUACCAUAUUUGUUUGCUGGAACGCUCAACUUGAUCUCGGUGACGAUUAUGUGUUGAUUUAGCUAGGAACAGCCCCUAGCGUGGCCUUACAAGUUAAUAUCCACUCAGCCUUAAAGAGUGAUUACAAACGGAAGGCACUAAGAAUAGGAAGCAACAACAGAAGAAUAGAAAGGGACACGAGACAGUUGGUAUGCAUGCACUUAUAUCGCUAACAUCCGAGUCCGCCUUAUAUUAUCGAACUGACAACAAGAUGCGGUGCCUCUCGCUAUCGGCAAGGACGACGCAUCAGUUCGCAUAAAUGUUUCACUAUUUGUUGCUUGGCUCUCCUCCAUCACACCGCCGCCCUAGUCAGUGUUGGCCAAAAACUUACGUUUUGGUAGAAAAUUCAUUAAAAAAAACAUGCCUAAUGUUCCUAUAAAAGAUAUAUACUGUGUGUUUAGUUAAGAGGAUGAUAUUUUUGAAGCAUGCAAAAGUUCAAUUUCAAACUCAAUUCUUUUACAUGUAAUUUCAAAAUCAUAUUCAUUGUGUUCUGGGGUAUGCAAGAAAAAAUAUUCAGGAAUGAGUUAAGAGGUUCUUGUCUGCUACGGAGUACUAUUUGUCAUUGAAUUUUGUCUUGCAUAACUUACAAAUGUGUUGAGUCUGAAUUUGAAAUUUUACAUAUUUAUUACAAAAUCCUCUUUGUACCUACUAUAUUUCUUUGUAGCUUUAAAAAUAUGAUUCGUGUGGUUCGCACGGAUAUUUUCUCCUUCGAGUCAUGGUUACGGGAAGAUAAAAAUCACUCUUGUGCACUUAAGUAGCAAGAUAGGCUCACUUCGGUCAUUCAAUUCAGAAUAUAUCCAUCUAGCUCACUUAACUUGGCAACGAGUUAUAAUAUGCAGUAGUUCAAAAGGCUUCACUCAACUAUUAACAUAUGCAUCUAGCCCAGAUGCCCAAUUCUCUAUUUACCGAAGCAUUUCCACAGGCCACAGCGUUUCCUUUCUUUAACCUUGUUUCAUUGUCCUUUGCAUUCCCAUCGUUCACAGGAUACAUUCUCAAAUUCUCAUAGGUACAACAUAACACCUUGUCGAAAUUAUACGCGCUGUGUAUUUUAUAUCUAACGUGAAAUCAACAUGCCUUAAAAUUCCUACAUAGGGUUUGACUCCGGCGCCGGUGGUGCAAGGUUGAGCACCAUGUCGGGGCCCUUCUCCCCGGAGACAGAGAACUCGUCGGGCACUGGCACGCCCAGCUCCUCGCACACGAACCGCACCACCCGCCGCGUUGAACUCCCCAGCGACAUCCUGUUCACGGUCACGGCGAUGGCGAACCCGUGCUCAGGGUCGCAGAACCCCGUCGACCCGCCCAUGCCGGAGUGCCCGAACCCCAUCGGCGCACUGCCGGACCUGCCAUACCUUCUGAACCCAAGCCCGAACUUGCCGUUAGGGUAGAUCAUGCCCGAGUAGUCGCCGAUGCCCAUGAAGGCGUCCAGGAUGUCGCUGUUGGCGAACAUCGUGCUGGCGCUUCCCGUCACUGCUGCGGUCAAAACUUCGCUGUCGGCGUCGCUGGUGCGUAGCUGCGCGUAUUCCCCUUUCUCUGGCGAACUGCCGCCCUUCUUCGUGGACCCUUUCUUCUUCUUCUUGGGCUCAGCGGUAGGGAACAUGGGGGUGUGCAGGUGGCUGCCAAGGGGCGGCUUGGAGUUGCCGGAGUGUGGCGGAGGGAUGGCGCCACCGGCUGCCAGCGCCGCAUAGUACCGAGCAAGUGCACGCGCCGAGCAGUGGCCAUUGGCAGCGGGGAUGAUGGCACGGCGGACGUUAAGCGUGUUGAACAGAGCUGGCACACCACUCGCCAUCUGAGCAAUGCUGCUCACCAGCUCUGGUGGAACAUCCGGCCCUGGCCGGAACCCGGAUAGCUUCUGAAGUUCUUCGACAUCGACUGUCAGUGCUGCAAGACGAGAUUCAACACCUGAAAAGGGAACGAAUUCUUUUUAUGAACAUUGGAGCUGGAUGAUCUGCAACAGCGAAAUAAUGAUAAAAUAACAUGCACCGUCUCUAACUUAUUGGAUUUUGCUGCAUGAAUCUAGAAGAGCUGAUUCCCCAUCCAGGAGUUCACCGAAACCAGGAAAAAAUUAUUGCCAAGUCCAAAGUUUAAAUACUAAAACUGCAAUGCUAAGUCCAAAGUUUCCCUAAUCAAAUUUCAGGAAAUUUGUAGUGCUCCAAUACAGUAAUUUACAGAUGCACUACAGUCUCUCGUUAAGUUCAGUUCUAAACAUUGCUGAAGUACUUGUGUUUCUGACUCUUCCAACACGCAAGAAAAGCAGCACAUGGAGGACAAUUUUGAUAAUCACAAUCAACUAAAAAACACCUUGUAAACAAUCUAAGAGCACUCUUACAGUACCCACAAACUAAUAUAAGCCGUUAAUUUCUUCUAAUCUAACGGACAGAUUUUAUCUGCACUCCAAGGUAACAACCGGGGAGUACCAUUGACCAAUACUGAGGAGUACCAUCUUGUGUGGGUAAAAUCGUAAUUAUGAAGUCAAUUAACAGGGGAUAACAGGAUAAGUGCUGGAUGGACGGACUUAACGCAGUUAAUUACGGCGGCCGGUAUUGAGCGGCGAGAUUUGCCUCCAAUAUCUGUGAAAUUUAGUCCAAGGAGUAGCCCGCUGGCCGGUCGGCCGGCCGGCUAAGCCUGCCGUUAGCCCAAGCCGGUCCUGUACUCCCUUACAAGGAGCACGGAGCUCGAUCGAUCAGGCGGCGGCUUGCAGUCUAAUGUCAAUUAGGAAGCGCUCGUGGAAGUCCAAAUUACCCUAGGCAAAAGGUCUAAACUACCCUAACUGAUGGACUGACAGAUUUGCUUGGUACUCCUGACCCUUUUUAGGGAGUACCGGGAUACCGUAAAAAUUCUCCAAUCUAAAUACUGUUUUUUAGAACCGCUAUAUACCUGGAGGAAUGCCGAUAUAUAGCUCUCCUUCAAUUUGAAGAGGAUGAACAAUAGCCUCUUCUAGGAUCUCUUGAAACUUCUUCCCCGAUGCAUGCUAUUAUUGUCAAACACCAGUGUCAGAAAUUAAGUUAGAACAGUACAAUGUCGUAAGGGCAGAUUGCCUUAGAUUUAAUUAUUGCCACUCAAUUGAAAAUAGUCCAUAUAACUGAAAAAGAUAACUUGACAGAUAUGUGCAUUUAAAGUUUGCCAACCAUUACGCAGUAUACAGAUUAGUACAAAUUAUGUGAAACCAUAAAGAUCCAAUUAACACGAGUCAACUAACAGUUCAGUUAUGUGGUGGUAGAAGGAGAGACAUACCUCUACGAGGCCACCGCACAGCCAACCGAAGGAUAGGUAAUGAUAAAUUUGCGAUGAACCAGGUUCAGUUUCAGGUGUACAUUUGGCAAUCUUCUGUAGUGUCUCUUCCCAGUCACAUACCAACAAAGGAUCAGUUUUGACCACAUCUCCCAGUGCAUUGUGCAGACCAGAUGUAUGAUUCAGAAGAUGGUGCACCUUUAUUAGGAAGUACAGAAUGAGUCUGUUAGUACGAUGAAACAUUGUGCCUCGUCAAAUAGCAGAAGUGGAGAAGUUUUUGUACCUUUAUUAGCUCCUUUCUGUUAGUUCCAAAUUUUGGCCAUAUAUCAGCAACUGUUUCAUCAUACUUCAACUUCCUGAAAGAUCGGAGCAUGCUGUCAGUACAAAGCAUGUAAGCAUAAGGUAACAUGGAAAAGAUGCUUAAUCCUUAAUGUUCUCCAAAGAGCAUCAUGCACAACUGGCCAAGAUCCAAAAGAUCUACCCCGCACAAGAUUUACAUGCUAGAAAGCUUAAACUAGAACCCAGAUCUCUUUAGGUGCAUCAGAGCCUACAAAAUAUCAAGACAUUUUAUGACUUUAAUAAGGUGAAAGCAAGUACAAGAACCUGCCAACACAUCACAACAUCGGUCAUAGUUUGUUUUCAACUUACAUUCUAGCAUUCCAUAUAAAAUUCACAACAUACCACAAGUGGUAUCGUCUAGAUGUUAGAUACCCAGGUAUUGUUUGACCAUUAAAACAUAUGUUUUUUUUAAUGGAAAGACUGUAAGGAAACCCCUACAGCAUAAUUGUGAGCAGCAGGAUUUAAACCCUGGUGGGUGGAGUCAUGCACCUACAACUCCACCACCACACCAAGAGGUGCUUGUCCCAUUAAAAACAUAUGUGGUUUGAGUCUUUACUUCAGAAUACAACUGUUUGUGUACGAUUUUUCCAUCUAUGUAUACACAAAUGGAAUAUCCUCAGGCCUGAAUGUUCUUGCUCUGAUGGCAGACCUAGACACCAAUUAAAACGAAGUGGCAUGAUGCCAUACUCAUUUUGCCAUUUCUCUUUGUGCACAUGUAAACUAAGAUGAAGAUGAGACGAGCAACAGUUAUAGCAUGAAGAAUAGAAUUUUAUAAUAUGAUUUAACCUGAUGCCCUGCAAACAUAUUUACACUGGCAGUAGCGGAACUUGGCAGGUGAACAACGCAAUUUUCAGAUCUUGCUCUGAUUUUUUCUAAUUAGCUUACACAUAGCUCCGCCAUUGUACACUGGCAUUGUUAGAAAAGCGUCGGUUCUAAUAGUAUUAACCACUCACCCUUUGUCAACAAGCCAAUGUACCAUCCCAGCAGUGAUACCCUUUGUCACCGAGAAGACUGGAAACAGAGAAUCAGGUUGAACAGGACGUGGAUCAUACUUCCCUAACGAACCAGCAGCAGUAUCUAUUAUGACCUUUCCGUCUUUAUAUGCACAUACCUGUGAAAGAAAGAUCAGUAAGGCUCCAUUAUAACAAGCUAACAAUAUGCAGAUAUUACAGCUAAACUCGUGAUGAAAUUUUGUCGGACCAAUAUAUGUUAAAAUCAAUGGCAUAGCAUGUAAAUGAAUCGAAUGAGAUUAUCGACCUACUUGUAUUCCCAAAAUUUUGUCACUUCCCAUCUCCAGCAGAAGAUUCCUCAAUUUAGACUCCACUUCAGAGUUAGGAUAUGAGUCGUAAAUCCACUGAGUAUUUGUUGAGGGCCCACGCAUCACAUUCCUGAUAUCAACAAAAGCAUAAAUUAGCAAUUUAUAUGUAAUGGCUCACAAGAAAGCAGCUACACACCAUUGGCAUGGCAUGCAUCUCACCCUAGCAAAGUUGAUUCAGCAAAUGGCCUCAUGAUGUCUAGAUAAACUAUCCUAACAUUUAGUGAAGCUGAAAGCCCUGCAGGUAUAAAUGAACAAACUGUCACUAUAAUGCUGCACAUUUCAGAGGGAUGGAUAUGUUCAAGAGAUAAAGAAAUACCCCUAAGAAGAUUUAAGACCCUCAUAAAUAUUAUUGCAUCCCCAGGGAAAGCAUCAACCUGAUAGCCAUGAAACUUCCAUUUAGCACCAGUCUAUUGGUUGACAAACUCAACACAGCUUGAAGGAAAGUAAUCAUGCUUACUUACAGGAUUAAAAUGUUUAACCUCCUUCUUGCUCAAUUUCAUCUUUUCUUGAAGGGCUUUGGCAUUUCGUUCUCUUUGCUCAUUAAGUGCUUUAAUGUUCUCCUAAUGAGUAGGAGAAAAACACAACACCACAACCAACCAGUUACUACAAAUUCCUGAAGUGAUAAAAAAGGAGCCAAGAAAAAAUAAAUGAAAACACACAGUAGCCUUCAGCCUACUUUUGCUUCAAUUGCUGUAGUGGACUGGCGAAAGAAUAUUGAGGCAAUCUCCAUAGACUGCUGAGGCAUGUCAACCCGCAACUUAAGCCCCAUCUCUGCAAAGGCUGACAGCAGUGCCACCUGGUCUCCCUGCAUAUUGAUCUCAGAAUUGUAAAUUACAGAAAUUUAACAAAAGAAUGACAAGCUGGUAAUAAUAAACAACAAAAGUUAGAAUAAAGAAAAUGUCUUGCAAAACGUUACAUAUCAGAUGUUUUGUACUUCAAAGCAUCAGUGCAUGUGUUAACUUAAUAUUGCAGGACAUUGUGUAUAAAUAUGAUAAUUGCUACAUGAAAAACAUAGUAGUAGAAACAAGCUUAGUUCCUGAUUCCAUCUUGUUUAUCGUUGUUAAAUGUGUCAUGUCAUCUACCUAUCUGCAAUAUCACUGGUGGGUAAAGACUAAUGACGAGAAAAAAGGGUCACAAGGUAUUACAUGAAAACAGUAGAAAGUUACAAGAUUACAUGACAUGCUUGUUUGGUUUCAUUAUACAAGAAAAUGUUGCAGUUACUCUAAAGGAAAUGUUGAUCGUAGCUACCAAAGAUACAAUCUCUUGAUUAACUUUGUUAUUUACUGCCAUGUGUACUAUUUGAAAGUCAAAGUGUGACAAACCUCAGCGCAUGACAAAAACAUCUUUGCUAGUGCCUGCUUCAUUGAUUCUGAUAUGCGUUUAGUUAGCCCAAAAUCAAGAAGAAUCGGUUUGUGUGGAGGUUCCUUGCUUACAAGAAAAUUGCCUACAGAAAAAAUGCAUGUUUGAUGAAUCUAUGUGAAGGAACACAAAGAAAUCCUAUGGAAUAAUUGGUAAGAUAAUUGAGGUGACAGAACAUCUUCCUACGAAGCAUAUAAUACAAUACCAGGAUGAGGAUCUCCAUUGAAGAAACCAUCAAUGUAUAUUUGAUGAGCAUACGCACGGGUUAUCUCUUCAACGAGUUUUUUCUUAUCAACACCAUAUGCUUCCAAUGAAUCAUUGUCAUGUAAGCGGAUCCCGUCCAUAUAUUGCAAAAUUAGAAUCCUAUCAGUCGACUGAUACAAAGAAGAAUGAAUCAGAGAGUCAGAUGGUAAUCAUGUGAUUUCGGAGCACUAAUGCAAGACAAACAGAAUAAAAUUAGACCUGAAUAACUUCUGGAAUAAGUACAUCAACAGCACUGGAAACACUGCCACUCCCAAUUUCAGUUUUCUGACUAAGAUUCUUGGAGACAGUCCUAGUGUUCUCUGAAAUUAGAUUUUGACCAUACAUUGUCAUGAUAACAUCUUUACAAGUGACUAGACCAUGACUGAUGAAGGAGAAUUUGGCAACACAUGGAGAUAAACACAUAUUAAGAACUUUGAGCAAGGAGAACUACCUGCUUCAUGAUUGAAAUCAAGUUCCUUUGGGGCCUCUUUGCACCAUUCAUCAAUCAUUGGAUUGAAGUCAUAUUGAGGUUCUGCCCAUGCAAUCCAUUCGAUUAAUGAUUUUGCAUUCUUCAAAUCCUGACCAUCGAUGAAAAAUUAUAAUAGCAAUCCUACUUAUUUUACAAAACACUAUUUCUAUCAAAGAGAGGAACCUCUAAUAUGAUCUCUUUGAUACCAUCAUGCUGAAUUUUCACAACUACUUCUCUGCCGUUUUCCAGAGUUGCACGAUGAACUUGUGCUAUCUGUCAAGAAGUGUUCACGAAGACUCGCAUGAGCAUACUAUGAAUUUACAUCAGAUAAUCUAAAGUUCAUUUGAAGCCAAAGAACUUACUGAUGCAGUUGCAAGAGGGUCAAUGUCAAAACUAGCAAAUAGUUCACCCAUGGGUUUCCCUAGUUCUUUCUCUAUGGUUCCACGAACCUGCACACGAGAGAAGAAAAUUAAGAUUAAGAUAAAUAAUUACAGUCAUACUGUAGGACGGUAUACAUUCCAUUUGGAUUGAUUACAAAUGAAUGAAAAAAACUUAUGAGAAACAAAUUUAAUCUACCAUUAACUCAUGAACAGGUAUACCUCUUCAAGAGGGCGUGGAGGAAGCGAGUCCUGCAACUGCUUCAGGACAUUUAUGUAGGGUUCAGGAAGCACAUCUGCUCUUGUGGACAAGUAUUGGCCCAUUUUCACCCAUAAACCUUCUAGCUCUAUCAUCAGGCUGAGAACACGACGAGCAUUUCUCUCGUGUGUCUUUGCCCAUAUGGCAUUCUUUUUGACAGUGCUAACCCAUUGAACUCUCUUCUGAACAGCCUGCUCGUAUCUCAAGAAGAUGUUAAUCUGUUUCUACCCAAACAGAAGAGACUGGUUGACGAAAGAACAUCAUAAAAAGAAGCACAUCCACACCUUAUAGUCCAAGUAGACAAACAAUGCCAAGGAAAAAACUUUGAGGCGCCUGGAUAAGAUGGUUCCCCAUCCCAUUUGAAGUCAGCUAGUGACAAAAAUUUCUGGCACACCGUGGGCAAAGCUAAGCUGCUAGCAAGCCAGUGGGUCUCCUGCAGUGCCACAAGUCCAAGAGAGCAGAUGCAAAUCAGCAUGGCCUUCACCUUUCACAGUUUUUUUAUGGAUCACAAACCGGUUCAACUGUCCAGGAUUGAAUACUUCUCAUAAUACUUCAUUGUCAGUACAGUUAUCAGUUAUUCAGAAACAUUGACUUGACAUGACAAUCAGGUGUAGUUUCCACUUACACUAAAUGCAGAAAUAUGUACUGCAAGCACAGCUUAAUGCUACUGCGACUGAUCGUGUCCUCCCUUUCUACGGAGCUUCCCACGUUAGGGAAAAUAAGCUUUGCCUUAUUAAGCAUGCACGCCGGUUUACCCCAUUGACAAACAACCGGUUCGUACCCACACUAGAAUCCACUGCGGCCAAUAACGAAUCGACCAAAAUCCUAUUUGGUGAAAAAUAUUAUGUGUGCAAAAAUAAAGGGGAAAAAGGUGAAGACUGAAGCACUAGCUUCCACUGCACAAAUGCAAUUUCCUUCAGCAAGAACAGCUCUUUCUGUAGAACGGAGAUAAUCCUAUUUGAUCAUACAAUCUUAGCAGAACCAACGAUUUAUAGCCUGAUGACGGCGAAUUGCGCGUAAAAUUCUCCCCUAACGAAUCCCUCGGGUACCUACGUAUCCACAGCCCCAACCUCAGCACAUAAUCAAAAUUUAACCCCCAAGCUCCGAAAUUUAUACUUUAAUAGAUCGCCCAAAAUACGCGCAAAGUGUCAGAACCCAGGGGAACGACGAAGAACGACCGGAAUUACCCCCCGAAAAAAUAGUCAAAAACAGAGAGGCUAAAUUACCUCGAUUUGCGUUAGUCCUCGGAGGAGAAUCUCUGCGGAAUUCGUCGGAGCCCCCGGGGAUCCGGCGAACUCGCGAAAGAACAAGGAAGAAAAGGAAACGAAACAGUUACUCCUUUGAGGGGGCGGGGAUUUGAUGAGGCAGAAAAGGAAAAAGCUUUCGCGAGAGGUUUGGUCGAAGAAGUGGAGGAGUGCGUCCGUGGAAGGAAGAAGCUAUUUAUUCCACACAGCUUCCAACCAAGUGACCGAUUUUCACCUAAGCCCUUACGUCGCCUCGUUAUUAUUGGUUUUGCAAAUCGCAUGCUGCAGUGAUCAGUCAAUUUUUAGAAUCUUGCUACUACGACUUUUAUUACUCCGUAUAAUUCUUUCGUUCAUGCAGAUUUCUUGUGUGUGUGCAAAGAUCAGAAUCUGAACCGCUAUUUUGUGAGUAUUUGGCGAAGACACGCCGCGAAUCUGGUGCCAAUAAUGCUCUAUUCUAUGGCUUGGAUAGAUGAUGGAUUCAUCAAAUUGCUUGAAAAAAGAAAUGAGUUUCACAUUACGGAUCAUAUUAUCUGCAUGACAUGAUGGGUGUCGUCGUUCCCUAGACUGUCUCUUGGACGGGGGCCAACCUGGGGGGUAAAGUACUUGCAGGACGCCACGUCGUCGAUCCCUAUAACCAGUUAACAGCAGAUUAUGCUUCGGAACAAGAAAUCACGAGCUUUAAUCACACCCCAGCUGUUUGCCUGUCUCCUGGCAGCAGCAAGAAGUGAAAAGUUAGACAGGGAUCAUUUUUUUACUGUACGAACUGCAAUGUACAAACUUGGUAGAAACUAUGUUUAGAACUUCUUUAAAAGAACUUGAGAUUAUACGGAGUAGUAUGUUAGAUUUUUGAUCAUCUAUAAACCCGUAAGAUUUCAAGUAAUUACACAUUUAGAAAGGUCAAAAAGACAAAUUUCUACCAAAAAUUUGAGAAAAGUUCCUGCACGCCUUGAGAGAUUUCUAGUGGUUGGUUCUUGUGUAGGCAGUAGUGGGAAACCAGGACGGCGCGGAGUCGCUGGCCGGCCGUGGUAGCUCAGCGGCUGCGUCACGCGUAUAUCCAUCCUUUGCCCCUGCCGCAAGAGUCAACUGAGAUCGGGUUCUGGGAGACGGAGACACGCGUCGAUGCCUACGCGGUUCACGGGAGAUUCUUCCCCGGUAGACGACGGACGAUCUCUUCUCCUCGUGCUCGGGGCAGCAGAUUCGUGUGCCCCCGCGAGAGCCACGUCGGGCCCGGUCGGGGCAGGGCUCACCGUGAAUUCACGCCAGGAAGCUUCCUCCUUCGCCUUUGCAUUCUGUAGCGUGUGCACAACGGGACGAUGUCUCCACAGUAUUGUACAAUUGUGGAGCACGUUUUAUUUACUGCAUCAUGCUUAUGUUUGUCUGUUUUUUUCCUGGUGUGGUCUCGAUCAAUCCGGGAUGCGAUCAGGUUUUUAUCGAUCGCGCCAAUGGAGUACCAACAAUGUACUUUCUGGUUUCUGUUUCCCGGGCUUCAACCUCGUCCCGAUCAACGUCAGGCCAACUAGGAAAUUUCCCCGUGGUACAAUACAACGUCAGCCCAACUCUUAUAGCGAAGCAAAGCAAAUGAAUACUUUUGUUUGGGGGAAAACAAGUUAAAAUGUGAAUUCAGCGAGAAUAUCCUUCACAAGUAUCUAGCUUUAAAUACGUAAAUCCAUAAAAAAUGUCACUCACUUGGGACAGAAUUUGCACUGACUUGGUACAAAAUGGACAACAAUUGUUUGGAUAGGAGGGAGUAACAAUUAUCCAAAUUAUCCAAACAGAAUCUCAUUCUAUGCGAAUGCAGAGGCAGAGGCAGGUUCUUCACUUUUCUGUUGAUGUUUGCUUUGCAUUUUCAUGCUCAAUGCAAAUUAUCUCAGGCAGGAGCCAAGAAAAAAAAAACCCAAACAGCAGUGAAAAGGAAAAAAAAACAGAAUAUAUGGCCGUGUCAGAAUGAUCUGAGCCGUAGAUUCAAGCCAAAAAAGAUAAACCAAUAUGACCGUGUCAAAAUGAUCUGAGCCAUAGAUAACAAGAUACAGCAAUAACCAGUAAAACAAAAUUUCCAGGAACCAAGGGCGCAUAUAUAUAACAAAGCAAGCAAUGAUAGCAUAACAGAGAAACUAGACUAGCGAGAAGAAAAACAGUAGUAGGAUAUCUGAUGCUGAAUAACAUAACCAAGUCCUCACAUGAACUGAAAGUAACACAUAGAUCACAUGACAAUCAGCACGGCAGGUUCAGAAACCUCUAGAUAUGUGCACAGGGCACCAAAAUUACUGCAAUAGGAGUACCAUAUGCCAUUUUGUGGGCGACAAAGCAAGAGAGUGAUCUAAUCAAAGAGGGAGAAGCCCAGGUCGUCUUCGCUUUCCUCCUUCUCCUCUUCCUUCUUCUCCUCAGCCUUAGGGGCCUCAGCGGCAGCUCCACCGGAUGCGGGAGCACCACCAGCAGCAGGACCUCCGACCAUGGCACCACCACCGACGGCGCCAAUGAUCACCUGCUUGUGCUUUCACAUCAGCAUUACAGAGAUUUUACAAAAGAUAGGAGUAGAAAACAGCACAACUGGCUUCAAAAGCUUUGGCAGCUUGGAGGCGCCAAUACACAUCACAUGACUUUCCACACACCAACAAAUAGCAAGAAACUUGUCAAAUGAACAUCUUAAGGCACAACACAAAAGUUAAUAAACGAAUUCACCACCUCCAUUACGAUAGAUGUAAAUCCUUGCUGUAUUGGCGAAUUAAAGGCUACAAUUAAUAUAAUCAAGAGCUACUACAGCUUAUUCAUACUAGUGCUAUAAAUAAAUAAUCUCAUGGUAUCACAAGUUCACAACAUCUCCUUGCAGAUUUUUCUGAACCAUAAUGAAACACCUAGAGGAGACAGCAACUAAAAUCUGCUUGAGAUGCUACUAACCUACUUCUCAUAACAACACAAACAAAUCAAAAAAAAAAUAUUGCUCAAUUCGGAAUUAUGUAGACCAAGAACAAGCAUGCCGUCCUCGCACGCGGCAGGGCAUUUCCAAUCACCAGAAACGAGUAAUUAGACCAAUAAACUAAUAUACACAUAUAACAGCUACUCAGAUCUGACUAGGGAACUAGAACACUACCGAAAGCACAUCACAGAAUGCAAUACAAACUAGCACGGAUCAAGUAAUCACAAGAAACUCAUGGAUCCGUAUAUAUACAUAAUGGAAGUGCAAGACAAACGUAUACAGUUAGAUCAGGAGUACAGAACAGAGCAGUAAACGCGAGGGGGGUUCCGGACCUGGCAGAUGGCGGAGGUGGGGGAGACCGCGGUGAAGGAGGACUGGACGCCAGCGGAAGAGUCCGCGGCGGAGGCGGCGGCGACGAGCUGGCGGUGCAGGUCGUAGGUGGUGGCGGCGGAGGCCUCCAGCUCGCCCUUGUGCUGCUUCGCCGUCCACUCACCGCCGGAGCUGCGGCACACGAAGGUGUAGACGCCCAUG